rnacentral:lncRNA from 1 species
UUUUUUUUUUUUUUUUAUAGUUGUCUGUCAUGGUAUCCAAGGCUUUGCCCUGAUUAAUCCAUUGAUCGAGUCACACACCUGUCUAUGAUGGAUAAAUCUUCCAACAAAAGUGAUUAGGUAUGCAAGAUUUCAAACGCGAGACCUGCUUAAACGAAACCAAGUUGCUUGACACAUGACCCAACCCCGGUUGGUGCAGCUUCUACUUGUGUUACAAUGAGAUGGUUUCGCAAACUUGUGGUGCAGUUUCUACUUGUGUUACAGUGAGAUGGUAUCACAUUUGUGUCCAGAUCAAUUAUUAGAUCCCGUCAAAUAGAUGGGCCCCUCCCUACGUCACGAGAUCGGUACUAAAAAAUAAAAAACAUUUAUUCUCACUUAAUUGGUAAAGUAUGCUACUCCAUUGAUGUAAUACAACCUUGACCAUCGGACUUGUAUAUUAGACUAGAAAAGUUGGUACAUCUACACCUAAAUUUGGCCAACUUAAGUUUAACCAUAGAACUUUAGUUUAACGACCUUACAUAAACUUAUCCCGAACCUUUUCUUUAUUUUACCUCAAAAAUUUUUACUUUACCUUUUUUUUUUUUUUACGAUAAAUCUAUUUUAUCCUACAUUAAACGAGAGGGAACGGAAGGUCCGGAAGGGACUGAACCAGGUAAAAUUUUUUACUUUACCUACCAAAGCAAUCUCAGGCUCAAGAUAUUGUUCUAUCCAAUGGCUUGAUAAUGACUCCGUGAUAAAGAAUACGUCCAAAUUGUCAGAGAAAAAGGAAUCCUAGAAAAGGGCAAAUUCCAUUAGGUGAGAAUAAUUGCAAUUAGACCAUCUAUAAUAUUGUCCAGUUGCAGGCGUAAAAGUUUUGGCCCAAAGAGAAGCAACUGCAAACUUUAGUGAUGCCAAAAUAACUUCAAGUUGCUGCUAUUCCUUCUUUUCUGUCGGGACUAAUGCCAGAAAUUAAGCAUUAAAACGCCCACAUUAGUUUAUAGAACACCAUUAUUUAACAAGAAAUCAUAAGUAAACUAAAUAGCAUUUUCCAAUUCCCAAGUAUAGCCAAGUGCCACGAGGGAAAAUGAUGACAAAAAAUUCUUCAUUUCUCGUAUGAAUUUAAGACUCCACCAUUUCCACGGGUGGAAAUGGAAAUGAGAAUCAGCACUAACAAAAAGAGGGAAGCACUUGCAAAUGGAAUAACCCAACACCAAAGCAAAGAGAAGGUCAAAGACAAAAAGGUCGAAAAAAGGGCCAAGAGUGAUGCCAAAAAGAGAAUUUCCUACCUUGGAUUUUCAACUUUUCCAAUGGCAAAUACAUACAACCAUCCAAAUGGAUUCAGAUGUUGCAAAUGACAAGCAAUUAGGCCUUAGGACUUCUUUCAUUCCUCUAUGGACUAUGGCCGUUCUUUCGUGUCAUUCACAUUGUUAACCAUCCAUCCAACUAUAUGUACAACCACACAGAAUUAUUAAGAAUCAACCCCAAUAUUACAGUUUACACCUAAACGUACAUUUUGACCACUUUGCUUCUUAAACCUCAUCCACCCUUUGCUUAAUUUGGACUCCUUGGGUUCCUUUGGUUGAAGGCCUUCUAUUACAGCCCCUUCAAAACCUUAUCCCACGUGGUACUCCAAAUCCUUGUAUACAUAGAUAGCCUUGGAAAAUUUUAUCCCCUUUUGCUUCUCCUUACCUGUUGAACAGAAAAAAUCAACAUGAUUUCACCAAGCUGCUAACUAAAAUUGCUAACUAAAUAGCACAAUUUAAUAAGAAACCUUCAAGCCAAAAUUGCUAAAUACAAACCCUACAUGUUUCCAUUUCCUUUUACAUUUACUUUUGCAGAUCUAUUUCUGAUGCAUUUUCAAGAAUAAAAUCAUGGACCCUUACCAACUCAGCAACACCUCAAUUAGCUAAGCUACAUUCAUGAUUCUUCCAUAUUUAGGAUAUAAACUAGCAACAAGUAAAAACAGCUACUAACCAUAAAAGACAAUAACCAUUUUGCCAUUUGAACUUUAGACCAUAUACAACAGAGAAACAGAACCCCAAAAAAAAAUGAAAACUUUUGAAAGCACCAAUCUCACAUGAAAUUUGCUUAAUUAUGGUGGCCUUUUCAUCCAACAAGUGAAAGAAAAAGAUCUCCCCAUCAAUAUCGUCCAUCUUCCCACCUAAAAAAGGCCAGAAUGACACAGACUUUUUUAUUUACUCCAAGGAAAAAAAACAAAGGUACCGACUUUUCACCGCUCAAUGUCAAAUUUACAGGUAGCGGAUUAGACCAAAUACUGUACUAGCACCACUACUAUCCGCCCACAUCACCAAAAAUAUCCACCACCACCGAUUCUCCACACAAUUCUAACUCACCCCAGCUCAUCAAAAUCCAUCCGAGUCAACUCACAAACCCCAAAUUAAGGCAGAACAGAAAUCUGGAGCUAGAAAACUUACCAAAAUCAGUCCUUGAAAAUGACUGAAUCCGCGAUUUCCAUCAAUGGCUUCAAGCAACCAGGCGAAAAUUUCCUCGCAAACAUGUAAGAGUACGAAGAAUUCGAGCGCCUUAAACGAUGAAUCAGCUCAGGAGACACCUCAGGUGGAUUAUAAGUAUGAGGAUGUCCGUCGACACUGUCGGUCCAAUUAACCCGAGUUAAUGUAUAUUGGGAACACCCCUCCAGAUCCGUCAUUGAUAAAAGUGUAGGAAAAUAAUGCUCUUCAGGAUAACAAGACUCUACAUUUAUACAAGGCAUCUUGAACUUAUUCCACAAACGCCUAUCUUCAAUAACCUUGAGGGCAUGUCUUCGAGAUAGCGUAAAAAACUGCGAGCCCACUCGAAAUUGAUCGAAACUAACUUCUGGGGUCAUCACAUUUUCCCUCUAGCAUUGUACCGAUCCCACAAAGUCGGCGAAUCGGAGAGGAUCUCAAUGUAACUCAAGUAUUCGAGGUUUUUCGACAGCUUGUGGAGGUCGAACAGGAAUUUGUAGAGGUAGUUGAAGGAGUGGAGUGGGAUGCAGUUUUGGGAGACUAGCGUGAAGUAUGCAUUUGACGGGUCGUCGAGGAGGGCGGUGGCAAGGAGGCGGCGGGCGGCGGAGAUCAAAGUGGGGGAAGAUCGUUGAGUUCUCUUAGAUGGGAUAAAUUUAUCGGCAAAAACGCCGGUGGGUGGGGUGAUUUUGACAGAAGGGUCGGCGUGGAUGUAGAUAUUGUAGAGACUUGGGCGGGUUUGGUUGAAGAAUUUUUCCCAGAGGGGAUGAAGUAGAGGUCGGAGUUGGUGAGGAAGAGGAAGCAAUUUUGGGCCGGAAGGUGGAGGUGGAGCCGAGGCGGGAUUUGGGGGGGAGGUGGGAUUUGACGGAGGUGGAGGUGGAAGAGAGGGAGAUGGCUUUGUGAAGAGGGACAAGUCGUCGAACUCGUCCGGGGCGGUGAUGGUGAGACGGCGAGGAGAGGAGGAAGGAUGGGGCUAUGAAGUAGAAAAGGACCGGUAGGCAGAGCAGAAGUGUGAGGGUUGGGAUGAGCGGAGAUGAAGGGUAGGAUACUAUUGGCAUUGUUGGUCUGUGGGUGUUUGGGGUUGGGAUUAUGGGAAGUGGGAAAAUUUGGAUGAGGGUUUUGAUUAGUAGGAGUGGUAGUAGUACUAUUCAGUGCAUUUGGUGGGAAAAAUUGAUGGAUUUUUUGAGGGUUUUUUGGCUUUUCUCCUUUUUUUCCUUCUUGUUUGGGGGAUUUUUUUUUGGGCUUGGGGUGGGGGCGUGGGUGGGGUUUGUGGGUGUUUAAGGUGGUGUGAAAAUGUUGAUCAUUCAAAAUUGGGAUUUGGAGAGAUUUGGAAAUUGGGGGGAAGAUGGUUGAAGAAAGAGUGAUAUUGGGAUGGGCUAUGAGGGAUUUUGGAGGAGGGAAGGGAGAAGGGAAACAGUCGAGAUCCAGCAGGAAAAGGGAGAUAAUGAGAGGUGGACUGGUGGAGGAUUGGAGUAAUGUGUUGCAGUCCAAAAGCAGGUAAGUUGUAUGCAGAAGGAGACUGUCUUGUUUUUGGUAAUAAAAAAAAGUCAAAAAACCCGAGCGAUCACUAAAUAUUGAUGAGAUCGUGUUUUGCCAUCAAAUUAUUUUCGUCGGUAAUUAGUCAUUAAACAACUUAAUCAGUAAUACAUGACUAUUUAGUCGAUAAUUAUUCUUAAUCUGUGAAAUUGACUGUACACGUGGCAAAGUGUGAGGUAAUUUUAUCCAACAACUACGCGAUCCUAUUUCACAAAUUAACUGUAAAAUUAGCAGUUAAUUUGUGAAAUAGGAUCGCGUAGUUGUUGGAUAAAAUUACCUUGCAUUUUGCCACGUGUACAGUUAAUUUCAUAGAUUAAGAGCAAUUAUCAACUAAAUUGUCACGAGUUUAUUGAUUUAGUUAUUUAGUGGCAAUUACUGAAAAAAUAGUUUGAUCGCCAAAAUAUGACCUGACAAUAGUUUAGCUGGCUGCUGGUUUUUUACCCUAAAAAAAAUUUGAAUGUAUUUGGAAGCUUUAUUUAAUACAGGAACAUAAUAGAUUGAGAUGUAAGUAAGGAGAUGUUGCUUUUUAGUAACUGAUUUGGUCAGAUUUGGAUCUUGUUAAUUUGAAGUAUCGAGCCUGCAGUAUACAGUAAAUUGGAAUCCAAUAAGUUUAUGGUAGUGAAUUUAUGGAAAUUAAUGGAAGAACGAUGGAAGAUUUUUUCAGUUAUUCUUCAAGAAUUGAAUUGGAUUAGUAUAUCGGUUUGGCUAAAACUAUUUAAAGUUUUUAGGUGUCAGUUUUUUCUCAAAAAAAGUAUAAUUAAUUUGAGAAAGUGUCACAAUUUCAGGAAUUCAAUAGAUAUGAAUGAAUGUAUUUAUGUGGUAAAUACAGUAUAAUUUAAGUUCUUUAAUGAAUGCCCACUAGUUGAAAAAUUCUUACUAUAUAUAUUAAAAAAAAAAAGAGUGACUUUUAAUUCUCUGAUAUGGUCAAGGGAAGAACUUUGACAGUGGUAAAUUCCAAGGGAAAAAGCAUAUAUCCUGUACAUUUUUGGCAUACAUCCUGUAGAUUUUAGGCUUGCUAGAUUCGUCUGUUGCAGUGAAUGAUCCAAGCAGCAAGCAUCUCUAUUUUCUCAAUCGUCAAAAAAGUCCAAAAUAGCAUACAUCACCUUUUUACAAUCACGUUUUAACCUUGAUUGGAUUGUAGUUUUUCACAAAAAAAAAUUUACAUAAAACACUCACGAGUACCCAUUUACCUUAUAUUUAUCAAAUCGUUAUAUGAUAUUUUUCUAUAAAAACUUCUAAAAAAUAUCAACAAGACAAACGGAAACAUAAUUGUGUGAUCAUGCAUAAUGCUUUCCCUAAACAAGUCUCUUGCAAAGUCCAAUAAAAGGACACUUCACAAAUUCUUAUAUGCAAGUUCAAAAGGGAUCAAACCUUAAGUUUUGAUAGGGUUGGAGAUUAAGAGUUCAAAUCUUAACUUCCAUUAUUUUGUCACUAUAUGUGUCUUCUCCAGAUUCAUAUGAAUGCGUAGUACAUCCGUGUGGUUCGAUGGUAAUUCAAUUCAUGUCGAUUGCUCAAUUGACCGGUUGAGUCUCUCCAUAAAAUGCUAGACUACAAGUAAAGGUAGGGCAAUGUUACCAAUUGAUCCAAAAAAAUUCUUCUAUGUACAUUUAAAGCAUAUCUCACUAAAUAAAUAAGAUUAAUUAGUAUGAGAUAUCAAGGACCUAUUUUAGGUAUUUUAAUUAUUUAGUGAGAUAUGAUUAGUAUUGGUUCUGCAAUGUGACAUAUUUUGACCAUGCAUUACCAUCCUCAGAUUAUACACUCCUUCUAAAAUCGUGAAAAACUAUUAUUUUAAUUUUUUUCUUCAAUAGAAAUUAAAAAAAAAAAAAAGAACUAGCCAAUGUGUUCAAAUAUUAUCAUGGAAGGAAAUGCCAUUUUUUUCCUUUUAAUUUUUCCAUCCAUUAAAGAUACCAUCAUAGGGGUAAAAUACCUUGAUUUACCCAAGUUGGCUCCAAAUACUACAACGAGAUAAUUUUUGCUUUUAAAAUGGAAAAGAUAAUCCAUUUCAAAAUUUUAAGCAAUUCUUCUCACUUUGUACAUUUCUUUCUUGUGUCUGUUUGCUAAAUUCUUUCCGUCUGUGCUUUUCCUUCGCUGUGGCCAACCAAUAACUAUAAGCCGUAGCUUAGCAAAAUUUGCUUCUAAGUUAGUUAAAGGUGUGAAUUGGAUGUUGGAUUUUCCAGUGUGGCUGGAAGAGUUAGCUCAGCAAAAUUAUUGUUUGAAACCAACCCCCCCUCCCCCCCCCCCCCAACAAAAAAUCUCCCCAACAACCCCAAAAAUAAUGAUCAGCUUCCUCAACAUUUGAUGAGUAUAUAAUAACCUGGCUUUGAAAACUUGAAUCCCACAAAUAAUUAUUACAUGAAUAAGCUCAACUUUUUUUUCCCAAUUGGGUUUCCAUAAUUUUGAAUUCGGACGGCCAAACUUUCUAAAGAUGACAUCUCAACUAUAAUGUGCAGGUAUAGAUUGAUUUUCUGGCAGAAAGAAGAUCAAUUUUAACAUGAUGGAUGACAUCUCAAUUUUCUUGUUUCCUACUUCCAGAAUUUCCUCCAUAAGGACAAUACUUUAAGGAGUUGUUUGAUGAGGAAACAAAUAGAACUACUUCUGGAGUAACAUGAAUCUUUCUCCCUUUUGUUUUGGGGGUGAGGAAGGCUCAAAACUGAAAAGCUAAGCAGGCUUAUUUACCACUAAUCUACUAUGAACCUGCUGAUGCCCCAACAUUUCAGGGACACAGGAGAAUGGUAAUAGAUCAGUCCAACAUGAGAAUGUGCUUUUCUAUCUCAAUCUCCAAUAGAUGAAAUUGCAAUAUGAGUACACAACAGGCCAGUGACUUCUGUCAUAGUGGCCAGUGACUUCUGUUAUGGUGCCAGUAUUAUCUUAUAAUCGAACUAUAGAAUCAAGUGCAGUAUAGAAUAUUGACAAGGAUUUGAACACAGAUGAAUUCAUCAUUCAUCAGAUAAAUCUUACUCUAAGUCACUAAAAUUUUGCACUUAAAACAUAUACCCUUCAAGCCUGCCGAAUUCUUGAGUCUGAUCUUAUGAAUAAAUUGAACAAAAGAACCAAUUGACAACCUUUCUACAGUGGAGAAACAGAACAAGGUCUCUCAACAUAUGAACCAAACUUAAGACAAGCAGCUCAGAAAUAGAGAACAAAACAAGAGAAUAGCCGAUAAAAAAUGAUCAUAUGACAACCGUUACAACAGCUUGAGUAGCUCCGAGAAGAUUUAUUCCUGCCAACACCUGUCUUCCAUCCCUGCCCUGACGAUAUUGCCAGAAAAAAGAGGAACUGAAGCACUGCCAACGCAUCUCCUUAAGAGAGGCCACCACUAUGUACAGACUAACAAAGGCAGAACUUAAUAUGGAAGAGUUGCAUAUCCCAACAGAACAUCAAGUCUAGUUGUCCACAGACUGCGCAACCGAUUUGGUAGGCUUUAGAUCAGUGCCAUUUGCUUUGGAUCUGUCCUUCAAGGGCUUCUGUACAGUAGGACUCCCUUUGACAGCAUUUCUACUAGGUUGCCUAGUUGUCUGCGAGCCAAGACCUUGCCCUAAACAAGGUGAAUAACCAGAAUGUCCAGGUGAAAAAUGGACUGGAGUUUAUAGGAAGAACAUCAAUAAGAAUGAACUUUUUAGUAUUCACAGUAUCCUGCUUAUGGGAUUCCAAAAUUACAAAUUUUAGCAUGGAAAGAUGGUUGGUGCAAUAUUCUCAUCUAGUAAUUCCUACUUGCAAAUACAAAAACAAUGGUUUUUAUCUGAGAUGCUUCUACCCCAAAAUAACUGGUACAUUCAAAUCAAAUACUGCAGGAGUUUUAUUGUGUUAUGCAUUAUAUUGCCAAACCUUCAGAAAACCUUUUCUUGUAGAACUGAAAUUGCAUGCAACUUUGCCCUUUUUGUCAUUCUACAUAACCUUUAUUUCACUUUUCAGCACAGAUGGAGGAUGGUAAAGGCCUAUUAAAUUUCUAUGUUGCAUAGCAGAAUUGCAGGAUGCUCUAUCAACCACAUAAAUGAGAAUUCACAAAAGUGAGUGCAAAAGCGGCAUCAAAGAGAGAAAAACUAACCACUAGGCAAAGAAAGCCUCUUCUUUCCCUGCUUAUCUGACUGCAUCGAUUUCUCUUUAGGGUUGCUGUUUGAUCUUGAAAUGACACUGGGCUUUAAACUACCGCCUUCAGCUAAAUCAUCAUGAAUCUGUUUUAACCUUGGAUUGGCAGAAACUGUGGGAGUUGUAUCUUGCACUGUGGCCAACUUAUUUGGGGAAGAGCUGGAGCCAUCAGAAUGAGAAGCAGCUAAUUUCUCAUUUAACAGAUUCAAAUUGAUACUUGAACGAGAUGGGCCUGUUUUUUCAUUUGGGUGAUUUGAAGUCAUUGAUUUCUUGCCAGUAGAUUUUGUUUGGGUAUUUAUACCAUUUUUUCCUUCAGUUGAUCCAUUCUCUUGAAGUGCCAUCCCAUCCUUGGUAUUAAUGUCUAAAAAGCGGUUUUCCCAUGGACGAACGGCCAUCCACCUUUCCAACCAAUUCCAUCCCCAGUUACUUUUAUCUGGUUCGAAACCAGCUGGUGUUGCCUGCUGUCUUGAUCCUGCCUGCCACUGUAACAGAGGAAAUGAUACUAUUAAAGCCAUCAAAGAAAAUAAAUGCAAAAUGAUUUAGAAAGAACAAGAGAAAACGGAUACAUGGGAACUUAUAGCCAUAUAAUGAAGUGUCAGAAGAUAGAAACGAGGAGUAUGUCAAACGUAAAAAUGACAAUUUGAGGCCUCUGUUCCUUGUUUUAUGACAACAAAUCAAAAGUUGCUCAAGCAAUUUAACCAAGGCUCUAAAAAAUUUAAAGGCAGUUAGGAUUUGCAUGCCACUACUUUACUGAGGCUUAAAAUUUAAAGAGUGAGUGAGGAGUUAAGAAGUUUAAAAGGUUCACAAGUCAACUUUGAACUCAAAGCUUUCAUGGAAAAGCUUACAAGAUCAAACGUUUGAGGUAAGAUCUCAGAAAGUAUGAAUUCUGCAAAAGUAAUGAUACAUCAGGCUUUGGUAAGUUCAGACGAUCUAACUUGCAUCCUAACCUCUCAGAGGUUUUGUGAACUGGAACAGGCACGUUGGGAAGAGGUAGGAUGACAUUAAUUCGGUCAUAGCUUGUAACUUAAUAGACCUAACUUGCAUCUCAAGUCCUUGAAAGUUUCCUGGGAGAGUGGAGAGGAAUUGAGAAGGCAGGCAGGCUGUUUGAACCUUCAAAAGAAAUCUAUCAGCAACAGCUAAAUUUCUGAGGACUGGAUUGCAUGUUCCAAAUAGAUUUCUGACAAUGAGAAUGACACUUUAAUUGGAAUAUCCUUCAAAACAUUUUGUCAUAAUAUUCUUUCCAAAUUUGGCACAAACAAGUUUAAGCACUACCUUUCAGUUAGAAGUACAUUUGCACUAGUCAGCAAAAUAAGUAUUAUUUUUACCAAUCUUUUUAAUUAUAAGAAGGAUUUCUUCGAAGAGUCAAUUUUGGAAGCAUUAGUUGCUCAAGGAAUGAGAUUUUUCUGGUACUCAGGAAUCUUUAUCAAUGUACAUGCUCUAUCAGACUCUGCAUGUCCAGUCAGUCUACGACAUUCAUCUAAAGCACUGGGAAUAUCUCUCAGAACACAAAAAACUGAGUCAUGACUUAUAAUGCAUGAACUGUGAAUUGACAUGAGAAUCGCACAGAGCUAGGUAGGCUAAGCUUGGAUAUCUCAUACAUUAAGAUAAUUGCAUCCUCAUACUUUCAAUUUUCACUGAUCUAGUGCUUGACAAUUUUUCUAUAGUAAGAUCACCAUAGAGAAUCACGAGACAUGCUAGAGGAUAAAAAAUAGUUACCUGAUGAGCCAAAGCAUAUGCCAUUGCCCUUUCACGCUUAGCUGCAGCUUCCUGCCUUUUCAACAACUUGGCUUGAAUAUCUUCAACGGAUCCAACACUAUCACACCACCCUUCCUGUGUAAGAACCAAGGCAACAAAAAGAAAUAAGAGUGCAUAAAAGCAAAACAAAAUGGAAAAAAAAGUACUUAAACAGAAAGAAAACUACUUCACUUAUUUUGGCUGUGAAUUGUGGCUCAAAAGAGAGAACAGGAUUCCAGCACUUUCAAAUUCUACGAACAAAAUGUUGACACCAUACAUAUAAACCAAAAUAAAUAAAUAAAUAAAACUACAUUCUAACAUGCAUUGUGAACAGAAACAAUCAGACAAUAGAUAAGCUGCUGAAUCCUGACUUGUUCAUUAGAUUGUAAUCGCUCUUGUCUAAUUUAUCAGUAUAACGAAUUCUUUGUAUGACCUAUGGAAUGUGCGUCAUCUAUUUUCUCAGCUUCCAAACUAGUCAAGAAAAGGUAAACUGAUGCUAGAAACCAGGCAAGUCAAAAAUUACAAUGUCACUGAUGUGACACCAUAUCAGCUAACCAAUGUGCAAGACAGAAUGAUAAAUAUUAGCUCACUAUCCAUUUAUUUUACAUAAACACUAAGAAGUGGCCAAGAAAAUAUCAUGAAAUGAUAGCAUCUAGAAUUUGCAUACUUCUAUUUCCCUAACAUGAGCAUCAUGUUCAAGUUGUUGUUGAAGUUUCUGUUGGGCUGUUUGAUUUUCCAGUGCCAUACGAACACGCCUUGCUCGGACACGGGCCUGAACUCGAACUAGAGCUUGCAUACAGCGGAGAGUGAUUGCAGCUUGCUUUCUUACAGCAUGGCCCCUAACAAGGGCUUGAAGUCUACUAGUCCCUUUAAGGCUCUUAGAGCUCGUCUAGCCUGAAAAUCAUCAGCAAUUUUGUGUCUAACGUCAAACUUCAAACAUAGAAGACUAGGUACAAUUCUUGCAUUAAAAACUUUUAUCCCAUAAACAAAAUUUUAUACAAGAAAAUAAAUAUAUAAUAGUUCCUUACAACUGUACUCUGGGGGUAAAAAUAUAAAAACAAAACAAAAAAAGGAAAACUGUACCAUGAUAGUAUAUAGCAUUCAGGUUUUAAGGUUUAAGAACUUGUAAUAUAUGUGAAGAUACUUUUCAAAUCUAAAGCUAUAAAAUGACACUCAACAAAAACAAGUUCAAAUAAUAUAUCUUGAUCUGGUAUAGGUGCCUGUCCACAAGAUACAUGUCCCAUUCCCGUAUAUUGAUAUAUUAAUGUCAUACCAUCAUUUGCUUAAUUAACAUAUUGAAAAUAUACAUACAAUCAACUAGUAGUCCUAAAACAGAUUAACCAUCCUCUCCCAACUAGAAUUUUUGAAUGCAAAGGUAGGCAAUGGCUGAGUUAAGGGGAGGAAAAGUAGAAUACUUUCAGCUGAAAAUCUUCUAAUCUAUAGAUCUUUAAAAGAAAUAAAGAUCAACAGAACAGCAUAUCAGGAACAUACAGACAAAUUGGAGAGAGAAAAAAGUGAUGCAAGAAGUACCAGGAAUCCUCUAAAAGCUGUUUGAAUGCGGAUGGCUGCCCAUUCUUCUCUACUGUAUUGAAUUUGAGCUGCAUCUGCCACUUGAAGUGAAGUAGAAGGCGUGCCAGUGGCAUCUGAAAGUGAAAGUGCACUAGCAUCUUCAGCUGGCCUUGCAGCAUCAUGACUCAAUUCGUCCUGAAGUAUGUCAGUAUCAAUUUCAACAGAAUGCUUUCUCCGGUGCCAAAACUUUCCAGUAGUACUGGUCCUCUGUAAAAUGUACAAUAUCAAUGACUGAUUGAGAAAGCAUAGACACUGUGGAAUGUGAAGCACAUGUAAAAUAAUGUUCAGGAUUUAACACGAAAAUGAAAAGAUGACAUAAAAGCAAGAGUUCAAGAUUUUCUAAUUCGUAAGCACUUCUGCUUUUACAAUAUCCAUGUUGUAGCCAGGUUCUUUUAAGUUUACCAAGCAGGAGAUACUGGAGUUUAGGCCAGAGCCCCUAAACCAGUAAUGUGAAAUGGCACGUUCACCUCUCAGAAAUUGAGAAAAGAUGAACUGAAAGUUUGACACCCAAUGCUCUCACAGACAGGAGUGGAAUAUAAACAACUCAAUGAGUUCCUCAUUUAUAAAAGAACAAUAGGAUAUGCAUACUAAGUUUCAUCUAUGCAAGUGGAAAAUCUCUAUGACAUGCACAUCACUCUUAACAUUCAUUACUUUGACCAUUUUUUCCUCUUUCUGGAUGGUAGUUGGCAAAAAUAGGCACAUAUUGUGUCAUAAUUCUUCUUCUCUUCUUUUAUAUCCCCAAUUGAUGUAACGUCUUUUGUUUCGCUUCUUUUCUUCCUUUAGUUUUUUGUUCAAGCUGUUGGUUUGGGGAGAAGGGGGGUUGUGGCAAAUAAUAAUAAUGCCAAAUUUGAAAAACUAUCCAUCUUGUGUCCUUCCACUCCUAUUGCCCUGUGGGCACCUGAGGAUUUGUUAAGUACUCACAUUUUCAUCCUUUUCUGAAGAUUGUGAUCUUUCUGGUUUCUUCAAACCAACCAAAGCUUUAAUCCAUUUCCCUGAUACACCCAUUGUUAGCAGUUUUGGCUCAUCAGACCUGCAACAAGUAAUAUAAAUGACUCAGUACUACUGCUAACUUCUAGUUGUACCUUAGAAGAACUAAUGAAGAAACCCGCAGAGGGAAAGCAAGUUCAAUAAUCAAAAAACACCUUCAUAUAUAAGACAAUCUAUAUGGAAAAAAUACUAAUCAGAGCAAAAAGGUACAGAAUAGAUACUCUUAAAUGGGAAAUGUGGUCCACGAGCAUGUGAUAUACAGUCUUGUGCUCACCAUUUGCUUCUAAGAAUGGGACAUACAGUAUUGGUGUUGUACUUUUCCAUUUACUUCUAACAAGGGAGACUCUUGAGAUGUACUAAACAUUAAGUGACUCAUGCUUACAGCAUAUUGCAUGGGAAAAAUGCAACAAUAGAAUAUGCACUGACAGUGAUUUCACCUGAUCCAUGCUGUACCAAAAGCGCUCUAUACCUGCUUACUUCUCACAAGAAUGUUAAUAAAGCUCAACAGCCAAGAUGUCUUCUCAAAUUAGUAGAGUUCAAAAAUUACAAUUUUUAAUUUCUUCUAUCUAAACCACGAUAACUGAAAGAAUAGAAUUCUCAAAUUCUUAAAAUGAGGCGGUAGAGUUAAUUCCCAAAAGAAUAGGUAAUGACCUUGCACGAAUCAUAAAAUGACUUUAGUACUGUUAAAAUCUUAAGUAGCAAAACAUGUUAAAUAAUCCCAACUUUUCCAUUUUUCAUGUGCUAUUUCAUACAAAGCAAGAAUCCUGUUACUUAUGUGCUACUUCAUAUAUCCUGUUACUUAACUAGUGUUGCACUCAGCAGUUUAAGCAUGAAGCAUCUUGCUCAAUUCACUUCUUCGUUUACACCUUAGUGUCAUAAUCCAGUAAUAGUUCUUGCAGUCUUCAUCACAGUCAUUAAGCUGCUUAUAUAAUUGCUCAUGUUACACAUUACUCUUAAGGAAAACACGCUACAACCACCAAGCUCUAAUCUUAAAGUUGGCUACCCAAACAAUCAUCUUGUACACCCAGCAUCACAACAAAACUUCUCUCUUGGGAUUUUGUGAGCAUGGGAUAGCCUAGCACAUUGAAAGUUAUGAAAGCUGCUCGUCACUGCUGUUGAAUAGACAAUGCAAUAAUGCAUCACAUAUAUGGAAUGAAAUGCAAUGGAUGAACAGGAACCCCUGAUAUAUGAGGAUGACUAAACAUCUACUACAUUGUUAAACCUCUACAUCAUAAUCCAUCCCCCCAACUAAAUACUCACCUUCAAAAGGAAAGCUUUAUGUAACUCCAAAGCAUCCAAUUGAACAAGACUAUUUCUUUGUUAUAAACAAUGCAAAAUGUAAUCUUCCCAUGCCAUCCACUCCUCUCUUUUCACCUGAGAAGCACGGUAACAGAAAUCAUUGUCAAUUUUGCAAUUCAGAAAAAUAAUUCACUACAAAACAGGACAUCCAUAAGUACCAAAUGUAAAACUCAUAAAACAUCUAUAAGAUUAAAAAGAAUGGAUUAAUUUUGCAAAUAAUUAGGCUUGUAUUGCACAGAUCUUUACUGGUGCAGAAUGAUGACCUCUUUGAUGACAAUGAAAACUACUUUAUCAUCCGCAACAUCAAUUAUGAUAAAACAGUAGAAGUAACCCGUAAUUACCAGCUCUAUCACUAGUUUUCCCAUUUGUGAAACAUCUAAGCUAAUCAAACAGAAACCUAAAACAAUAAAAUGAAAUAAUUGAAUUCCUUUAAUCCAAAAGCUUGACACAUACUGAACUAACUUGAUCCCUUAUCUUACAAACAAACAUACAAUUCAAAUGGAUUUCCAGAAGACCUCAACUUAAGAGCCAAAAUUCAAACACCCCCAUCAAGAAACUGGAUGGUGAGUGCUGCAGUGAUGAAAACUCAGCUAAAGUUUCGAACUUUAUGGAUCAUGCCAGCUCAUGUUGUAAUAAAUUCACCUAAAACUGAAAAAAUACCCCACCAGAAGAAGACAAAAAGAAUAAUACGCUGCUGACUGCUCCAGCUAAGUGAAAGGAAAGCCCAGUUGAGACAAUUCAGCAAACGAGAAAUGCAGAUCUAUAGAUCAUCCAACUGGCAUGCGUAUAUAGCUGCAAAAAGAGCUGAAUUCAAUUCAUGGUGGGCACGUUUGAGAAAAACAAAAAGGAACCCUUUUCUUUACCUCAAGUAAAAAUGAUGGGUUUUUGAAGAUGCUUCAGAAAAAGAACCUGAAAACAAAAAAUGGGUGCUUGGUGUUUGGACUCGGUACAAUGGGAGAAGAGUAAAUGAUGACUAAAUAUUAAUUUAAAUGCGAAAAAGGAUUUUGGCUUUGGUUUCUUGUUGGGAGGAAUCUAAUUAUGUCUAAUCUUGUCCGUUGGAAAGUUACCUUGUAAUAAUAAUUAAUCUUCUAUGUCUCAAUCACAAUCAAUCAACCAAAGGAAGGGAAAGGUCAACCUGUGGUCAACGGUAUCCGAAAGCUUUAGACAAAGGUAAUUAUUUUCUGUUAGUAUUCUUUUUCUGACAGCUUUGGAGUCUUUUUAGAGUGGUUGUUACUCCAAUCGAUUUGAAAUAGUGUACGAGCAAUUGAGCAUCAUUAGUGCGACACGUUUUAACUUUAAACAUUGGUUAGAACAAGUUAAGGGUAAAAACAAGAAUAAUUUGAAUUUUAGGACAUCUAAAAGUAGCUUUACUUGGUACUUCUAUUCCAAAAAGAGAGAGAGAGAGAGGUUUGGCAAUUUCUCUCUCCAAAAAAAUCUAUAUUUUUUAUGAACAUAUUUUUAAUUAUUUUUUUAUCUCACAUAAAUAAAACCAUUACAGUAUUUUUUUUUUCCAAAAAAAAAAAACUCUAGAAAAUAAGAAUUCAAACGGGCUCUAACCAUGUAUCUUUUGAUUGUUUGCUACUUCAUUGAUAUUGAUAGGUUCUUGAGUAAUUGAGCAUUGAGAGAAAUGAAGUAGUUUUCAAGUUAUACGCUACUAAUCGAUAUUUAGCAAAAUUUUAGUCAAAUAACAUUUCAUAGUUGAUUUUUUGUAACCCCUUUUUUUUUUCUUUUGAAUAGAGUCUGUCUUCUUGAAGUUGCAUAUGUAAAUAUUCUUAAGGAUAAAAAUUUUGCAAUUAAGAGAAAGAAAAUAUAACCAAUGGAUUUAUAAGUUAAUUUUUUGUAGUUCAAAGUUAACAAAUAUGAGCUAAACUCUUAUAAUUUUCUUAAAAGUAAGACAUUUGUUAAUAAUUGUGCUAAUAACCUAAUUUCUUUCUUUUUUGAGGUAAGAACAAAAUUUUCAAGAUUUGGAAUGUAUAUUUGUUUUUCAUUGAUAUUAUUCUAAACUCAAGAAAAUAAGUACAAAUUUUAACAUGUUGAGCAUGAGUUAAAGACAAAUACGAAAGUCUAUAUGCAAGAUGAAUCUGCCACCCCAUAAUUGUAACUUUUUAAAGAAUCAAAUUAGUGGCUCAGCUUAUUUUUAUGAAACCACCAUACAAAUAAAAGAGAAAAAAAUUACACUAUGGAUUGGAGAUGAUAUAUCCAUUUGAAACGGAAAAAAAACAUUUCUUUUUAUUUCCAAGAAACAAUAAUACUUUGUCCUUUUAGCUUCCUAGUUGCUCAACCCCCACAAUUCUUUUGGUAGAUUUGAUGGAUAUUCUUAGAAAAAAAAACAUUUUUCUUCCUACUAUUUUUAACACCUAACCCUAUUUAAAUUGCUAUUUUUUUUAAUUAUUAUUGAAAAAUGCAUCAUAGCGAUUUAAUUUGACGUGAAUGAAGUAAAAGAAGAAUUAAUUUUUUUUAAGAUUCAAAACUCUUUUUAUCCGCUCAAAAUUUCAGGGUGCGACGGCGUCGUACAACGUUGCGGAGGUAGGGAGGUCGUUGUCAAAAAAUACGGCCAAGGGUCAAUCACGGGAUUCUAUAGAGGGGCCCACACAGAUCGGAUGGCUCCAUGUGUCGCCGGCAAGGGCCAAUCGGGCGGGCUUUGGUUACUGCUGGUACAGUGGGAUUUUUUAGCCAUGGGCAUGAAAAUUGUGGAAGACACGUGAAUCUUUAAAAAGACUCAUAAAAAGGCUUUUUGCCCCUUUUUUUCUUAUAUAAUCUUGAAAGUUUGUGCCUUUUACUUCACUUUCCUUCUAAAGAUUUUCAAAAGAAACCUGUACAGAUUUCUAAAAGUUUAUACCACUAUUUAGUCUUUGAUAGUUGAAACAAACAAAAAAUCGUACAAACAAAAAGAAGGAACGGAGAGAAGAUGAAGGGCCUAUUUUCAUUUCAGACAUAUAUGAUACUGUAUAAGGGUUUGGCUUUCAAAUUUGUUUCAUUUGCUUCUUAUGGUUCAAUGCAAAUUCACACUAAAUGCAGAUAUAGAAUUAGGUGGCCCUUGUGAAAUAUGAUGACACUAGAAAAAACAACAGUCGACAAUGUGACGCAUGGAGCAUCAAAGAGGAAAACAAAUAGUAGAAGGCAGGGGACAAAAUAGUAGGGAUAACUGAUCUCACUUUCAAAUGGACAAAUAGUUUAUCCCCUUAUGAUUAGAUGUCACUUUGAAAUUUUUUACUUCAUAGAGAAACAAUUUCCCAAUUUUUUGUGUUCUUUACAGAUGAGCUAUUAAUUUGGUAGGUUGACCAAGAGUUUUGCUGAUCAAUAGAAUUACCUACUUCCUUGAUAACUAAUUAAUACGAUUAUCGAUAUAGCAGUAAAUGUUGAAAUUUCAAAAGUUAGAGGUUCUGAGUUCUAAUCUUCUUAUCUCCUCGCCACUGGUUAAAUCCCAUCUCUCCAUGUUAGAAGAAAGAACCAAUAGCAUCGGUAAAAGUGUCAAAUGACUUUGAAGUUCACCAAUUCACUAUGGCAAUAUUUAGACCUUGUUUGGAUUGCUUGUUUUCAUCGGAAAAUAUUGUCGUUUUUCGUGAUCACAUUUCCCUAUCACCUUUUUUCCUCACAUAUAUCAAAUCGCUACAGUAAUUUUUUCCAUGAAAAAUGACAAAAAAAUGCAAUCCAAACACAAUCUUAGUUCUCCCAUAUAUGAAAAAAGUGCAACUUUUCGGACGUAAAAAUCUCUAAGAUAUCGUUCAACUUCAUCGAUCAACCUUUGUUUUGCAUGUUUUACUAGUGUAAUCUAAAUUCUACUGACGCUCGUAGGCUGAUCGUUGAAGAAACAUUUUCCAAUCUGAAAAAGUUGCCAUAGAUCUCGAGGACAAUAAGAGGAAUGUCUUUGACAUGUACGUUUGUGGGUAUUACAAUGUAGAGCAUAUAUAAGUAUGUGUAUAUGAAUUAGGGAUAAAUCAAUUCUUUGGUGGUUUGCCUUUCAUCACGAAGAAAGGAACCAAGAAUAUUAACAUGGGAAGAGUAGGGUUUGGCUCUUUUUGUUGGAUCAUUAAUUAAUUCAACGUUAGACUUAUAUGUAAAUAAUUAUAUGUGUUGCAGAUUGUCAAAUAAGAUUAAAUCUAAUUAAAAUGAUCAAUUAUUAUUUGAACUUUAAUAUAUCUAAUAGAUUUGCCCUUCAUCACGAAGGAAGGAACCAAGAAUAUUAACGUGGGAAGAGUAGGGUUUGGUUCUCUUCCCCUUCUCUUGCUCCACCUUGAUAAAGGAUCUUUAAUUCUUUGUAAGCUAAAAACAUGACUUAGGAAUUUAGACGGCUAUUAAGUCAACGGGUCUCAUACCUCCAACUAGUUGUUGUUUAAUGGAUCAUUAAACCCUCCAUUAUAUUGUUCUAAAAAAUAAAAAAAAAAAAGGAACUCCAUGCAUGAGUUAUAAGCAUUACUUUUGGAAGUUUGUUUGGCUCCUGGUUACUCUUCAUGAUGAGCAUGACAAUUCUACAGGAGCUUUUAAAGUCUUUCAAGUUGCUACGAGGAAAGGAAAAAAUUCAAAAAAGAAAGAAAGGAAUAGCUGUACAUACAAAAUAAAAGGGAAAUUACUUUCGUAUAUCUUGUUAUGUUCAGAGAAUGACUCACUUCAAUAUAAAAUGUAUAGAGAUAAUUCAAUAUAAUAUGUGCACAAACAGAUAUAUGUAUUCUACGUUAGAUUGAUGGUUAAAAUAACCAUGUCAAUAGUUUAUCCAUCACAUGCACACUUUGCCUUUGCAAAAUUAUUAAUGCCUUUCUGCCACCAUAAUUUUCAACUAAAUUCGAAUAUGUUUUUAUUAAUUGAAUUAAAUGUUCCUCGAUUAUUCUUCCAAUAAUCUGAUUAAUAAAAAAAACCCAUUAAUAACCCACCACAUUUAAGUGGAUAAGCAAUUACAAAUUCAACCAUUUACUAUGUAGUAAUUAGGUAAAAGCAUUUAACGUAAAGUGUGACUAACUGUUGUGUUAAUCCAUGCAAACGGGACUAAUGAGGUUAUUUAGGUUCUUCAGCAAAUAUACAAUCUAUUAUUUUUAUUUUAGAAUAGUAAAUAUUAGACAAUCUAUAUGGAAUAUUUUUCAAAUUUUAUAUCUAUCUUGACAAAUUCCAUCAUUAUUAUUGGAUUUUAAAAUAGUUGAUUAGUAGAUUUGAUAAGUGUAACAUGUAUAGAAUGAAGUUGUAGUGGUUUAUUUUAUCAGAAGACACUAAAAUUUUUUUGUAUAGCGAUUUAUCUUAUUAGAAGACAUUUAAAAUUUUUUUUUGUAUUUUUCACAUCUAUUUAGUGUUUUUCAGAUCUUUUUGUUUUUUUUCUAGAGUAUAUUUAACAUGUCACUAAUGUAGAUUUUUGUGAUGUAAUUUAAAACAUGUUGGAUGAUGAGCAAUCUCGUUAAACGAAUUUGUUUGGAUUCGUUUAUUUUUCACAAACUACUUUUUUCAAAUACAAUACUGCAGUAAUACAUAAAAAAAAUGACUUCAAUCCAUACAAUGACUCAAAGCCAACUCACAAUAUAUAUAUAUAUAUAUAUAUAUAAAAUCUUACCCCAUUUUCCCUUUCCACCUAAUACCUUUAAAAUACUACCAAAAAUAUCUACAAUAAAAGUUUUUUACAUACAUUAUUACAUUAAAAUUUUUUAAAAACACCCCAAAAACAAUCCAUACGGAUCAUGUCCAAAAAAAGAAGUUAAAGUAGCUCAAGAUGCAAAUUGCAAAUGGGAAAAAGUUUGGGAGGUUAAAAUAGUACUAUAAUCAAAUCAUUCACAUUGGGCGAGGACGGAACUGCCGCUGCCAGCGUUGCGCAUUCACACUGACGCCGUCUAACAAAAACUAGUUCCCACCAAACGCGACUUUUGACCGGGCAUUUGCCACUCCCAAAAACGCGAAACUAAUAUGGAAACUACUCAACGCCUUCUCCACAGAACCCUCUGGAAUUACAAUCUCCCCCGGCCAUCACCCAUCCAACGGCCACCAGUCUUUCCAUCAAAAGACGAGAGUAUUCUAGACCCCUCAAUUUUUCCCGGAACACAAAGCAUAUAUCUUAAUCCAACGGCCCAAAUCCAUCUCCAAUUGGUACUUGGGAUUAAAUCUCAGCCGUUCAAGCGUCUUUCCAAAAGUAUAUUUAAAUAGCUCCUCAGGCGUUGUAGGAAUUGUCUCUGAGAAUCUUGUCGCUGUUUCUAGCCUUCGUUGCCCUUUUCUCUUCAGCUCUCUGAAAAAGUCGAAAAUCGUCGUAAAUCACAAGCGAAGAUGUUUGGGAGGGCGCCUAAGAAAAGUGAUAAUACGCGGUACUAUGAGAUAUUAGGGGUGUCAAAGAAUGCUUCUCCUGAAGAUCUUAAGAAAGCUUACAAGAAAGCCGCCAUCAAGAACCAUCCUGAUAAGGGCGGCGACCCUGAGAAGGUACCCUUUUAUUUUUGGAACAAUCUGGGAUCUUGAUCUUGAGAAAAGGGUUUGAUUUGUUAGGAGUUUUUUUUUGGUUAAAUUUAGUUUGAGAUUUUUUUUUAAAAAAUUAUUUUGCUUGAAUUUGCGUUCUCUUGUUAUUAGAAUUUUGAGGAUAAAAAGGGUCUUGUGAUCAGAUUUGAUGUGGGAAUUUCGAAAGGAUUAUAGUUGUUAAGACAAGUCCUAUGAUAGUAUAAUGAGAAGCAAUGAAGCUUUUGAUUUGUGCUGUGAUUGAUCUGGAACACGCCCUCUGUAAUGUACUUUCCUGUUUAUUACUUUAAUCAUUUUGUUCAAUUCAUGCCAAAUAAGUUUGAGCUCACGUUCCACAAUUUGUUAUUUUGGAUUUUUGGGGGAUAUCGAGCUCGGGUUGUUGUCAGUUUGGAUAGUUUUAUUUUCCGAUGUUAUAGAAACGGGUUUAUACACAAUAAGGUCUAAUUGGUUCUGUUUGAUUGAAAGAAUAUUUCGUGAGAACAUAAGAUAUUUAAGGAAGAAAAAAGAGGAUAUUUGCUGGUAGGCUAUAUUUUUGCUGAUUGUCACUCUAGUUGUUUAGGUGAAUUUAGGGUUGAAAUUAUGCACAUUGAUUUUAUAUCGGAUUAGCCAAUGUUGUGAAUGGACAGUCUCUUGUAGGGCGUCUUGAAGUUGUUCCCAAUGGUGUUCAUGGCUUGAUUGUCGAACUUUUCCACAGGGUGGAAGUUGGUAUUUGACAAUAACUUUCCGGCCUGUUUUUGCACCAAAAAGACGGGAAAGGAGGUUUAAAACUCGUGAAUAGUUGCAUUUUUCGUCCUAUUCUUUGGGAAGCUGGAAGAAAAAGGGGGGGGGGUUGUUCUAGAACCUGGGAGGGGGAUGUGUAGGAUUGCAAGCUUUCAUUGGGAGUGUGGUCAAUGUAGGUGAAUAAGAUAAUCAAUUGGAUUAAGGGGACUUAGUAUUGUAUCUGUGCUGGCCUGUUGGAACUAAUCUUUGUAUAUUUGAAGGGUAAUAUUAUGAGAUGAUUGUGAAUUUGCUGUCUCCAAUUACUUGCUUUGCUAUAGAGUCAUGGCAUUAGCGCAAGAUUUAAUGUCCUUUGAGAAUUUUCUAACUGUGAGCUGUUGCGGAAGACUAAUGAACAUAAAUUGUCAUUUUCCUUUCAGUUUAAGGAGCUAGCUCAUGCUUAUGAGGUCUUGAGUGACCCAGAAAAAAGGGAGAUUUAUGAUCAGUAUGGUGAAGAUGCGCUCAAGGAGGGAAUGGGUGGUGGCGGAGGCAUGCAUGAUCCAUUUGACAUCUUCCAAACUUUCUUUAAUGGAGAUCCAUUUAAUAGAGGUGAGACGUUAAUAUUGCCAAAAGAAAAAUGUUUGCUUAUCCUAGACCAUUUGUUAGUUUGGUGGAUUUAAAAUCCAUUUGGAAUAAUGCGUGGAGAUUGGAUCUUUAGUUUUGGUCGGUCAUAUUUUAACAGUGGGGGUACUGUACUUGUUUGUGAACAGGUAGCAGUAGGGGACGAAGACAGAGGAGGGGUGAGGAUGUAGUUCAUCCAUUGAAGGUGUCGUUGGAAGAUCUGUACAGUGGUACAACCAAGAAGCUCUCUCUGUCCCGGAAUGUUAUUUGUACAAAGUGUAGUGGGUAAGUAUUUACCGCUGCAUUUAAAUCGAGUUUUCAUUAGAAGUUUUGAUUGGCUUUUGAUUUUGAUUUUGAUUUUGAUUUGUCAAUUCUAGCUGAUAUGUGGUUGUCUGUGCAGAAAAGGAUCAAAAUCUGGAGCUUCAACAAAGUGUUCCGGUUGUCAAGGUACUGGUAUGAAGGUGACAAUUAGACAGCUUGGUCCUGGAAUGAUCCAGCAAAUGCAGCAUCCUUGCAAUGAAUGCAAAGGAACUGGAGAGACUAUCAAUGACAAGGACCGCUGUCCACUAUGUAAAGGUGAAAAAGUUGUCCCAGAGAAGAAAGUAUUGGAAGUUCAUGUGGAGAAGGGCAUGCAAAAUGGCCAGAAGAUUACUUUCCCUGGAGAGGCAGAUGAAGCGGUAAGAAGUGGUGCAUUGUGACGUAACUUUCUGAAACAGUUGAAGUUUUGAGAACUUAAUUAUAUCAUUCUGACUUAAUAUUGCUUCUGUCCAGCCUGACACUGCCACUGGGGACAUAGUGUUUGUUGUCCAGCAGAAAGAGCAUCCAAAGCUCAAGAGAAAACAUGAUGAUAUUUUUGUCGAGCAUACUUUGUCUCUCACUGAGGCACUCUGCGGCUUCCAGUUCAUCUUGACGCACCUGGAUGGAAGGCAACUUCUUAUAAAAUCAAAGCCAGGAGAAGUUAUUAAGCCUGGUCAGUAUAUUCUUUCACGCUAUUUAAUCAAUUGCACCUAUUUUCUGAUUAGAGUUUUCCAUGUAUUUGACAUGCGAAUUAUACAUUGUGCACAAACUUGCAGAUCAAUUCAAGGCAAUCGAUGAUGAAGGGAUGCCAAUGUACCAGAGGCCAUUUAUGCGGGGUAAAAUGUAUAUUCAUUUCACUGUAGAGUUCCCAGACUCUCUGAGCCCCGACCAGGUGAAGGCUUUGGAAGGAAUCCUUCCUCCAAAGCCACAAUCACAGUUGACUGACAUGGAGCUUGAUGAGUGUGAGGAGACAACAUUGCAUGAUGUCAACAUUGAGGAGGAGAUGAGGAGGAAGCAAGCUGCUCAGCAAGAGGCUUACGAGGAAGAUGAUGACAUGCAUGGUGGUGGAGCUCAGAGAGUGCAAUGUGCUCAGCAGUGAUCCCUUGAAGAUUUUUAGGACGAGAUGAUUUUGUACUUUCUCAAAUGCCAUGAGCUUAUAAGAGUUGCUGUUCAUGUAUUUGCUUUGGCAGAUUAAUCUAGUUUUGUCUGCAGUUGUUGAUCUUGAAGGAGAGAUUUACUUGGCACAAUUUGCUCCUCUCGCUUUCUUUUUUUUUCCCCUUUUUCUUGGGGAGAAAUAAUUGGGCUUUUGGCAGAAAAGAUCAGUAGUAGUAGUUCCCCUGGUCUAGAAAAGUACUAUGUUUUUGCACACACUGAUUUUACAAAAUCUGUCUACUGACGAAAGAAACUGAACUGUUAUUGGUGCAAGAUUUCCUUUACUAAAUGUGUUGAUCUAACCUUUGAGAAAAGGGUGUUGAAAUGUCAUGGAAUGUCUCCUGAAUUCAUUACAUCAUUAACAAUAAUGGUAGACCAGCACAAUUCCAUUAACUGCAGAUGAGCAAGCCCUGUUUUAUUUUGGUGUGGAAGGCAGGCAGGUAAGACGGAGGAGAAAAGGACAAAAGAAAAGUAAUUGACUUCUUUCUUAUUGCAAUUAAAAAGAAAGAAAAAUGGAAAGAAAAACGAAGGAAAAAGAGAGAAGUCAAAACAAAAAUUGCUAUAAAGUGUGGUUUACGGGAAACAAUAACAGUGAUGAUGACAGCUGAUUGCUUUACAAGCUCACUCAUCAAAAUAGAAGUUUUGGCUGGGGCUACUUUGUGGUAAGAUAUCGCAGUAGUAUCUGGGAAGAGCACUUGGAUGGUUUAUUUACAGAUUCAAUACACAAUCUUGCUACGGCUAAAAGGCUUCUAAGCUCCCUGGAAUUAUAACUGUUUCCAAGGUCUGGAUCUAUCAUCAUACUGAUGGAUGUUGGAAGGCGAGAUUCUUGAACCCAUUGGACUAAGUCAACUCCUCCAUUAUCUGAGGACUGACCAGUGAUUAGCUCAAGGAUCAGCAAGCCAAGCUGAAAGAUUGAGUCAUUGCAACUCUUAUCGCAACGUUCUGCAAGAUAAGCAGAAGAACACUCACUAAGACCACUGAUAUGGAUUAUGUGAUGUGAAAGACAAGGUCAUACCUCUUUCUGAAGAGUUUGGCAGUGUUUUGUGACUUCCCGCAGAAGACGGAAGGCCAACAUCACAAAGCUGUAGAAAAAAAAUUUACUGGUAUGUAUGAGCUUUUGACAUUGAAGAAUGCAAGUAGUUAGAACUCACAUGUUGCAAAAUUAAUGCCUUCUGGCAAAGACAGCAGCAUGAUGACUGGUUUAAUUUCCCCAAUCUCUUUGAUCAGGUCAGUCAGGUGAUAUGGAAAUGUGAAAAGAAAAAAAUCAUCCACGGAUGUGCUUAGAUUCCCAUGUUGAGAAAAAGUAACCUGUACCUUUGGACUGAAAUUGUCAUCCAACAUGACUGUACUUGAAUUGAUGGAAACAUGGUAUAUUGGUGGAUCACAGAAGAAAUGCAGAUAUUCCUAUAAAAAAAAACAAGAGCCAAAGAUGCUGUUAUGAGUUGAUCACAACCGUGCAAGUGAAUUCAUUUCUACUAAAGAUUGAUUAAUUGUAAAACUAUGGAGAUUUUAUUGUAGAACGGGUCCUGCUUCAUUGGGAGGUACUUCCAAAAAAAAAAAAAAAAAACUCAAGCUGACUCAAUACAGUUGAUUUCCCAGUUCAUUUUUCCUGCGCUUAUGUUAGUGAUCUGUAUUUUGUGCUAUAAUUUUAAUUAAUCAUCGGUUAGUCUUAGGAUACAGUUGGAGAGCCCAUGGUAUUUCUAGCUUUAGCAUGCAUGACAUGCAUACAGGUAACUGGUAAGAAAAUGAUCAUAUACCAGGUGCAAUUCCUAUCAAAUUGUGAACAUAUGCUAGGCUGAUAAGCAGACUACAUGAUGAUAGUGAAUUGAUUUUUGUCAGAACACGAGUAAGAAGUGCAUCGAUUUAAUCAUAUUAAAUGCUAAUAAGUCCUCAGUUAUAAUAAGCACAGCUCAAAACAUUUUGGAUUCUCUAAUGCAUUACCUAUGUAUGUCAGAGUAUAAUUCUGUUGUUUUUUUCAGAGCAGUAUAAAAUAGAAACAGGUGAAAGAGGAUAUGGUUAUAUCAUCCUCAUAAGCCACACAGAAAAAGCCAACUUCAGAACUCACCAGUGCAGAAGCAAUACCGAUGGCUAUUUGAAGCCGUGUUCUCCAAUUCAAUGGAGUCUUGAGAGGAUCUACAUGAAGGAAAGUGCUAAAUUAGGAACUACAAAACAAAUCUCCUGAGACACAAGUAGGUUCUGCUACUCUGCAGGAAAUUACCUGAAAGAUAAUCCUUCAGGCUUCCUUUCUCCAAAUGUUCAUACACCAAAAACCUAAAAUGCACAAGUAACAACUAUUUUCAGUUUUCAAGACAGUUGCAAGUCUGGUAGUAAUCUUAUGGUACAAAAUUAGUAGUAUUGUGAUAGCAGAAUAUUUGCAUAAUUCUCGUGCAAAGAUGAAAGUUCUGCUUCUAGAAGGUAUAUAGACAAACACCAAGCAAGUCAAUAUUCUUUAGAUUGAAACUGCUUUCUUUUUUGAUUGCUAUAGAUAUGAGAAUAUAUCUUAGAUAUGCCAUUACGGAUAAGUCUUAUUCCACAUAUGUUUUUUUAUCUAUAAAAUUCCUGAUAAACAUAUCAACAAUUGUAACAAGGAUUCUUGUGGGGAAUCUGCAAAUUUUACAUUUUUUUUUUUAUAGCUAAUAGAUAGUGAUUAACUAUCUGGCUUGAAGAAAUUAGGGUGUUUAUGUGACCUCCUUGGUGGUGUUAGCAUAAAAAAAAGGCCAUUUCUAUGAAUGAUAGAGUGGACAUCUGUUGAAAUAAUUAUCAAUUUGACUGGUUGCAGUUAAGGUGAGAUUUCUUGAUUCAAUCACACUUACAAAUUGCUGCACCAUAAAAUAUGCAGUUUUAAGGUGACCAGAUUUUGCAAGUACCAAAUAGGGAAGUGGCAGGAGAUAGAGAUAUUAACUGAACAAGGGAAUGAUAGGUAGCCAGCAACACAUUGCAAAAGUUAUCCAGGAUAGCUUGUGAAGGCAGAACAGCAACACUAUGUUUUGAAAAGUGCCAAAAUUCAUGAGCCCCGACCAUUUGAAUCCCUAACUACCUAUAGCUAUCCCAUAAUGGGAGAGAAAAACAAGAAGAAUCAUGCCACACAUGGACAGAGUGCAGAUGAAAGUUUAACUUCUAUUCUGGAUAUUCACCCAUAAUUGUCUCAAAAUCACAAAUAAGAAUCCAAUAAAAUGGUUAAAUCGAAAGGGAACAUGUAUCUAGAGUAGCUUCCUUCAAUAUAAGUGAUAACAAAAUAAUUAAUGGUCAGGAGUGCUAGAUUUUUUUUAAUAUAUAAAUUAUGUCCCUUACAUUCAUAAGACUCAAAUAUAAGGACAAUUAAGCAGAUUAUUGUCAACUACGCUAAUAAUCUUUCUAAUACAAGUUACAGAACAUAAUUGCAUUGUUCUGCAUUCACACAUACAGCGAAGACUUACACCAAACUUUUUAGAAGAUAAUUGCCACUAUAUGACUCUACUUUAAGCAGAACAAGUUUUGUUUCUCCAUUAGAAGACCUUACAUGGUUCAAAAUCGAAAUUUGCUGAUUGGCCCCUGAUUACCGAGUUAUUUGGCCCAAUUUCAUGUUGUUAGGAAGCCUCACAACCAAGGUAAAUGUUGAAAAAGGCAAUAUUGACUAAGAACAAUGAUAAGAAUGACAGUAAAAACAAAAUUAAGGCAGAGGUCUUGAUUGCAGCAUCUGUACUGUUUAUACUGCAGUAACCAGAGACAUGAAACUCAUCCUAUGUCAGAAAUAUGCACAUUCCUCUAUGAAUGAAAAACUAUUGCAUCCCAUCAACUCAAAAAACAGGAUAAGACGAAUAAAUCAGAACAAAGCAAGCCAUUAAAACCUCUUAUUUCCAGCGGAAUAUCCACUUAGUGAAGCAAUGUGACGAUGAUGCAGGCGGCUGAGGAGUUGCACUUUUCUACAGAACGCAUCAUCAUCAAGAUUAUCAAACAUUCUAAUUUCUUUAACCACAGCAAUAUGUCCAUUAUGGAACUUAGCUCUAUAAGUAGUUCCAUUGAUAGAGCUAUCUUGGAUCCUCUUGAAUCUGUCAGUUGCCUUCUUUAAGUCCUUGUAGGAGAAAGCACUUAACAAAAUAUACUGAAGCUGAAAAAUCAGAAAAAGAAUUUAUUUCAGCAGAGAGAUAAAUCACAAAAAUCAGUAAGACAUCAAGAUGAAUACAAAAUGGACCUACCACAUUAUGCCAUACUGCAUAAAUUAUUAAAAUCAAAACCACCUUUCCCCAUGUUGCCAAAUAUGCUGUUAUUAUACCUGUAUACUACUAGCUUUUUGAGACUCCACAUUUGCGUAUCAAUGCUUGGCAUUACAAUAUGAAGUAUUCAACAUUGCUUCCUAAGAAAGUUAUAAUUCUUUAACUUGUUCGUUUUGUAGUAACCUAACAUGAUCCGUAAUUUUAAACCAACCUCAUUACUAACUGAAUAGCUUGCCAUGGGACUACUGUCCAAAACCACAGAAAAUUUAACAAAAUUAAUUAGUUGACUAAGUUCAAUUGCCACUGUAAAUUUCAUAACAGCAUAUUUAAAAUUGUCCUUCCAUUUUUUUCGAAGACUAUCAUUUUCCUCAUCUCAUGAUAUACCAAAAAAAAAAAAUGCAUUUCAACAAUCCAAAAUCAAGACCAUUAGAAUUCUGCAUUGCACAAAGAAAAAAAAAACACACACACACACACACACAGACACUCUCACGCAAUCAAAUUAACCCAAUCAAACGUAUACAAGCACACAAAUUUAUUGAAAAACUACCAAUGAUUGCAAUUCAGAGGCCUAUAAUUCAAGGAACUUACAGUCAAAAGCAAUGGGAACUAAUAAAUGCUAGAGUAACAAAAAUGAAGAUCAAGAAAGAAAAGGGCCCUAUUGAAUGCAGGUAAUUCUGGAGCUCGGAGCUUACUUGAUCGAGAUUUGAGAUGAAACCAGGCAAGGAGGAGGAGUCUGAGCUUGAGAAUUUCAGAGCCCAUUUGUCAGCCUAAAUUUUUUUUUUUGCCCUUUCUGUUUUUGCCAACACCUGUAGUAACAAAGGUGUACAACACAAAAAAUUGGGAAUAACUGUACAUAGAGGAAAGGUGGCUGUGGUGAUGGGCAGUGAAGAUGAAGGUAAGAAAAGUCAUUGAAAGAAAAUUCAUCUUCAUCCAUAACAUCUGGCUUUAACCGCUUGGUAGAAUAAUUGUUGUUGCCACUUUUUCUUUUGGAGAAAUAGUAACAAAAGUAUAAAGUGGCUACUUCUCAAACUGUAAAGAGAAAAGAACUAUAAAGUCGCCUCUUUUUCACUUUUGCGAGAAUUACCAUUCAGUCCAGUUCUUUAACAAAAUAUUAGCAGUCCAAUCCAGUAUUGGUUUGAUUCACUUUGAUCCCUUAGUUAUCUUAUUAUUUAUUUUGUUCUUGUUUCUUUUCAAAAAUUCAAGAAGUGAGUACUUAUGGAAGGUGGUAAAUGAAAUGUAUUGAAUCUAAACCCAAAAAAGUAAUAUUGUAUAUGAUUUGAAGUUUUAAAGUUGGGUUUGGAUUCGAGUUUGAAAUGAUUUAAAUUCCAAAAUUUAAGCUCAAAUUGAGUUUAAUGAAAUAUUCACUAGGCUCUAAAGCUCAAUUCGUCUUCAUUUUUGCUAUUUUAUUAAUUUUAGGUUUUAAUUCGUUAUUCAACAUUUCAUUUUUUUUGAUAAUUUUCACCAAAACUUUGGUGUAAAUGCAGUAUACUAAAUUGAAAAAUGUUGAAUAAGGUAGCACAUUAAAUUACAUAUAAAGAAAAUUUUACUUCGAUCCGUUGUAAAAAAUAAGAUUGGAUUUUCAUCAUUAACUAUGAUAUUUACAUCUAUGUUACUUCAACUCUUCAUUUGAUCCCAAAUUACUUGUGUCAACAUGACAUUUUUUUUGGGGUUAAAUAAGAUACAUUGAAAGUGAAAUAGAAAAUCCUACAAAUUAUUUAGCUAAAUACAUUCAUUGGGGGGACAGUGCUCUGAAGUAUUCUUUAUUUAGCAGUUCUUGUUUGUUUUUUUUCCCCUUCUUUUUUAUAAUAGGAAAAUCCUCUUGAAUGUGGCUCAAUCUUCUUGUAGACUAUGAACAACCAUAUAAGCAAGCCCCAAAUCUGUUUGUGACUACUGUUGACUAGCACAUACAUAGAAAUGCUUCCUUUAUGAUUUAGUGAAUUCAAAUUAAAUUCUCUACAUCUUUGAUUUAUUUUUUUAUUUUCUUUCAGUUUGGUCCUUUUCUUGUAGGGAAAAAUUCACUUUUAGUCCUCAAAGUUCAAUGAUUGGUUUAAAUUUGUCCUCUAUGCUUCGGCCAAAACAAACGUAAUCUCAACAAUAAUCAAUUUCGAUCAAAUCAGUCCCUAAUGUUCCAAUGUGACCAAAUGUAGCUUUUAUUUAGUUAUAUAUAAGCAUUCAAAGACUUCCUAUACGAAUCUGAUAAACUAAUACUUACUAUUCAAUCUCUUGAUUUUUGCUGUAUCUGAAAAUUUAUUUUUGAAGAAAACUGAAUAAAACAUAUUGGUAACAUGACGAUUUAAAUGAUAAAGCUUGAAUCGUUUGCUGCCGAAAUAUCUAUAUGGUUCUCAUAUUCUGUUCAAUUUGACAAAAAAAGAAAAAGAAAAAAGAAGAAGAGAGAGCUAGUUUUCUAUCAAAUAAAUCAUAUCACAUUCAAAUUAAAGCAAAGAUUUUUCAUUAUAAAAAGAGUUACUAGUUGAAUACACAUACAAAAAAAUUACGAACCAAGUAAAUGUCAUAGCCAGUAAAUUUCUUCUGUCACGGGGAAAAAAGCACGAUCAAACAACUUGCUUGGAGCAGCUCUUAUUUGGUCCAAAAAAACUAUGGAUGUGGCAGAUUACUCUGAUUUUGGGACUUUAGCCAUCUCUGUGAUUUUUUAAGUUGGAAAGCAGAAAUUAUGGCCAGCAUUAUACGGUUAUUGCGCCACAGAACAAGCAAAGCUGGCAAUCUUGGUACACAAAUCGUCUACUUUCUGUGGUGGCUCAAUUUCAUCUCCUAUAUGCUUUUCUUGCCAGAAAACUUCCUUCAGUUCAAAGGGAAUAUGCAUCUUGUCCAGCAACUUUGAUACGGUUUCUUUAGCCAAUUCUGGUGAGGUUAGUUUAUAGCUUGGCAUGGUGAACGAUUUACCAUCGGCCACCGGCGGGCACUAUAAACUUGCUUGGUUUUGAUUGUUAUCACUGUAAAUACACCAGUAUCGAUCACAAACAAAGGUUGCUGCCCUGCAGCCUUUGUUGGUUCUUGCAGCUGUGAUGCUACCACUGAUACAUGGUACUCAUCGUACACGGAACGCAUCGGACACUGAGUUGACAAACUCAAAGGACACUUCGAAUUUCCACUGGAUUCCAUCCAGGAAGGGCCUGGAAGAAAAGAAGGUGGAUUGAUGACGAGUUGAUAAACUGAGACACAAAUGCUUGUGUUCGUGGUGUGUGUGUGUGUUUUUGAGCAUUCAGUAUCCCCACAUUUAGUAAAACUAAUUCGGAUUUGGCUCGGAGAGCGCUCACAGAGUCCAACUCUUACUUGGAUGUGAAGGUCUGAUCUAGAGCUUUUCAAGACAUCAGAUGCAAGAGUCGAACUUGCGACCUGCUAACACUUAUCUAUACUAUAAUAAAUUCUUGAUAAAGGAUUUGGGGUUAACUUGGGGUUAACAUUUAUUAUUGUUUUAUGAACUUCCUUUUUGGUCCUUAUAAAAAUUACUUUUAUUUUAACUAUCUAUAACCAUCUAUGACUAUUUUUUACUUUUAACUAUUUAAGUAGAUGUUUUUAACAUAAGUACCCUAAGUAUUAUAAUUGUCAAUAUAAAAUUAUUUUAUGAAAAAGAUUUAAAAAAUUAAAGUUUGCUUCAGUAAUAAAAAUUUUAUUUGAAAUAUAUGAUCAUAAAUAUUAUGUAUUUUUUGAUUGCACACACAUUGGGUGUGCAUUGAGCACUACCAUAAAGAAACUGUGGAUCUGUUGUUAAUACUUGAAUAAAGAAAUUUUUGAUGCCACUCCAAAUUGGGUGAUGGGUGGCUUCCUAAUUUGUUUCUUUCUUUUUGUUCUAUGGUGUUGCGUUAGAUUCUAGAAAUCGGGAUUUUUCUUUUUAAAUUUGAGUUUUCUAUUAUAUACCUUUCUUGUAAACAAAGAAGUUGCUAUAGAUGUUCAUGAGUUUGGUAGUUUCUUUUUUCCUUUGUUAUUGUAUUUUUUUCCCCUUUAGGACUUUUUGAAUUUGAUGAUAUAAAGAAAGAAUGUCUAUGGUUAACCCUAUUCGUAUUAAGUUUUGGCUAUUUUAGCCUUGGUUUCUCUUCUGCUGAAUCUCUUCAUUGUUAGGAGAUUUGGAUCAAAAUAAUUAAUUACGUUGAGCUAAAUUAUAAAGCUUUGAUUGAUAUCUAUAAUCAUGAUUGAUCUCCAUAAUCAUGAUCAUGAUUUUCAACCAAUCUAGAAUUGUCAAUGACCUGAUUUGGGGAAUUAUCAUGGUCAUAACUUCAAUCAAUCUAGCAUCUUUAAUCACUUGAUUUGAGGAGAGAUUAUUAGGCUCCUGAUUAGAGCAUUUAUUAUUGAACUCAGCGUUUUCAUUUAAUUCCACAAGAAAGUUUAAUUUGAGGAUACUAACUGAUCUAGCAUCAACUAAAGUUGAAGUUAUAAGGAUCACAUUCGAUACUAGAGCGAAAAAUAUAGAUAAUUCUGAUUGGAUACAUGUUCCAAUUUGUAUAAAAAAAAAACCUGUUAAUUUCAUGUCAGAGUGCCUAAUGUCAUGUUCAUCAACUUGUCUCCAAGACUUCCGGCGAAUGAUUCAGUAGCCAAAUCAAACUCCCCGUUUGCAUCAUAAAACAAUUCGUCACUGUUUCUCGGACUGCUUCCUCCUCAAAAUCUGGAUGGGCCACUAUAUUCUCACUGUUGCAAGAAGUCUUUGAUUUGAGCUGAUAAAUUGGGAUCGGACUUCAGCCAUCUUGACGACAGAAAGCUGGAAAGGCAGAAUGUUAUGGCCUGCAUUAUACAUUUGUUCCCUCAUGGAACAAGCAAAGUCGGAAAUUUUCAUGCACAGAUUAUCUACAUUCUUCAGUAGCUUAUAUAUAUUCGCCAUCUAUAUGCCUUUGUCUCCAGGUGACUUGGUUCAAUUCAAAGGGAACAAACAUCUGAUCAAGCAGAUUCAAUACGGUUUCUCUGGCAAAUUGUGGUGAAGUUAGUUUGUAGCAUGGUGCGGACAAAAGGUUUUGAGAGAUACAGGAUUUAGUCAGGCCUGAAAAAGUUUCUUGGUUGCUGCAAAAGUUUUCAGGGUAAGCGAAAACGUUAGUACUGAUCAAGAUCGAACAUACGUUGUAAGAGCGUUGGAUUGUUUCUUGGAAAUUCGAGUUGGGAUGCUACUACUGAUACAUGGUACUGAUGGUGGGAAUUGGAUGGAGGCAACGGAUUUGAUGGAGACAUCUCGGAGGACUUGAAAGAACAGGUUGAUUGAAGAUCAGUGAAUAUUCUUGAGAAAAAUUAAGGGGCUGUGAAUAUUGAGAAUUUGUUCUGUUUGUGAGGUGGCUCUGGACCAAUAAAUCGAAGACAAAAUUUGAUCCUACUCCAAGAUGGAUUAUGAGUUUGUAAUCUUGAAUCCGAUUGUUUCUUUCUUUUUCUUCUUGUUUAAUAUGCAUGGUAUUAUGUUAGGCAAUUCGGAUUUGCUCUUUUUUUUUAUUUUUUUAUUUUUAAACUGAAUAAUUUAGCAUACCCAUUGAGUUUUUGGGAUUUUUUUAAAAAUAUAUUAUUUUUGACAGUUAAAUAGCUAGUCCUACUCCUAUGUGGUUUUGGCUACUGCCCUUUUCUGUUUCUGCUAUGCACAGCAAAGUGUCAAUGAGUUUGGAGAAGCAACCCUGCUGCAAUUAAUUUUUAGCACAAACAAACUUUGCAAUCAUAUAUGCUAAUAAUAUAUAAUAAAUCUUGACUAGACACAAGGAUAUUCAGAACGACACAAGGGGCACAUAUGACUCUCUUGUAGCCAGUAGCCACUUCCGAAUGCAGUCUCCAUGGAAGACAUGAUAGCAAUGCAGACGAGUGACCUCUGAUCCCAGAACCAGGUCUUCCAAGCAAAUUGGACAGGACUUGUUUGAACCAUCUUCUUCUAGCCUGACCACCUCCAGUUUUCUGAUGCAUGAUGGACUUGUUGCUCUAAACCUUGCGCUUGUUUCGUACGUUAAUUCUUCAAUCGUUCGCGGCCUGCUGAUUGCUUCUUUGUAGUCCUUCUCGAAAUUGGGAUCAUUCUUCUUCUUGUCAUCAUACCAAGAAUUCCAUUCCUUGAUCUCACCAUCUGAGACUUCAGCUUCUUUUCUGAUAGCUAAUGUAAAAGGCGGAAUAUUGUAGCUUGCAGGAUCGAUACUGCUUAAUUCUUCCCACAUCCAACAUGCAAACUCAUAAGCAAAAGUAGCUGUUCGUUCGAUAUCUAUUUCGAAUGGAAUUAAGGUUUCAUCACUAGUAAGCGCGUAUAUCACUCUUUCUGUGAAGACUGAUUCCGAGGCUAAAUAGUGCAGUGGAAUAUCAAGCUGUUCCUCACGGUAAAGGCCUUGCAUGCUUCUUUCAUUAGCCGACUUGUAGUCAAUGGAGGUGAUAAUCUUGAUUGAGUAUAAAUGAAACGAAAGACAUGGAUUGUAAUCAGGGGGAUCUGCAGCAGCCUUCUUUAUUACUUUAUAUUCAUGAAGAGAAUUGACCGGCGGCAACCAACCCGGUGGUGACAUAUUGAAUGUUUUCGAGAAAAGAUGGAGAAAAUCUUAGAAGAAAGCAAGAAAGAUAUCUCUGGGAGGGUGAGGUUUCUUGAUUUUUUUUUUUUGGAUUGACGAGCUUUGAUGUUUUCGACGAUGAUGAUCUGUGUAUCUAUAUAUGCACAAGUCUCUAGCAAAGGUUUUGUCACUCCUAAUUCGUUUUGGAGAUGGAACUUUAGUAAAGGCAAUAGUUGAACAACUUUGGUUCUUGGAACAUGAAUCCUAUUAUUAUUAUUAUUUGUUAAUACUAUUAUUAUUAUUAUUACUAUUAUUACUUUUAGUAUUAUUAAUGUUAUUAUUAUUAGUAUUACUAUUAUUAUUAUUAUUACUACUACUUCUAUCUUUAUUAUUAUUACUACUACUACUAGUAUUACUAUUAUAAUUACUACUACUACUACUAUAAUUACUACUACUAAUAAUUACUACUACUAUAAUUACUACUACUAUUAUUAUUACUAUAAUAAUUGCUACUACUACUAAUACUAAUAUGACAUUAGUUCUGUUUUUGUGAUGGGAUGGUUCUUUUGAAUUUAGCUCAAUUAAUUAAAACACCAAUUAAGCAUGCCCCACAAAUAUGUUUGUGGCUUAAGCUGAAGGUGUUAAGAGUAAAAUACAUGCAAGAAUUCGAUUAUCAUUAGUAAAUACCCCUUAAAUCUUUGAUUUAUUUAAAAUUGUUUCGGUUUUCCGUCCUACUAUUAUUUUCAUAUGUUUGAUCUUCACGUUCAGUUGAUUGUGAUGCUAUCACUUGUAUAACGUAUUGAUCAUGUUUAUUCAAUGGUGGCGACUAAAUUGGUGACUCCAUUGUUUAGACCUUGAUCAAUUUGAAAGUGAAAAAUGAAUUUUCAAGGAUUAUGAACAAUUUGGAAAGGGGAGAGAAAAGGAAAAACUAGUAUGUAAAUCUUGGGGCUUGCUGAAAAUGUAAACGAAAGCGAAAAAGGUAUGCAAUUUUGAAAUCUUUUCCAAAUGUGAUUGCCCAUUGAGCACUAUAUUUCAGGUGUCAUAGUUUUGAAAAUAUAAGAUUAAAUAGGGAAAGUAUCUAAAUGUAAUAGAGGAUAAUAAUUGUUAGCAUGCGUAUAUACAUGAUAUAUUAGGUGCAUUAAUGAGUGCCAAACAGGCAUCUAUUAUAAAAACUCAUGGAAUCUAUGGGAUUUCUUCUUUUUUUUUUUUCUUGGAGAAAAUAGAGGAAUUGUCCGGAUAGUUUAUUAUUUGCACAAAUUUAUUUGCUUGUAUUAUAAACAUAUUUUUUUUUUCAAAAAAUUAUCUCAAAUAAUCUCCUGUCUAAACACACUCGGAGUUAGGAGUUCACUGUCAACAAGGCUAACACAGUUUUUUCAAUGCCAGCCAUCGUAUUCAAUUAAGGAAAGUUUUAUAUUUACCUUUUAUCUCUUGAUUUGCCUUUUUCGUCUCUGGAUUUUGUUCGUGUUUUAUUUCGAGAAAUUGCUCCUCCAAUCCAUGUAUCCAAUUAAUUUCGCACUUAGCUGACUUUCCUUUCCAUCAGCUGUUAAAUCUUGAUUUUCUUGAUAUUUUUUUUUCACUGCAACAACCAACUUUGACUAGACAAAAUCAGCAAGUUUGUUGACCCCAAAAUGAAAGUAGAACCAUUACUACAUGUUCUCUUCGAGCGUGUGAUGAUGCAUUCACAUAAUCUUUACAGGAAAGAAAACAGAGAAACUGGAGAUUCUGAAGGAAGUUGAUGUGGUUUUCAAGCAACUGGAAUUUACAAGUGCAUAUAUGCUAAAGGUUUUAUGAACCAAAAUAUGAUUCAUUAAGCUAAUAGGACACCAUUGGUUUGAAAUUUUGUACGGUUCUGAAGUUCGGGAGUGAAUUGAAAAGUCAGACCAUUACCAGAAACUACCAAAGAUUUGGAUUGGGUCUCAAUGAGUCGCAAAAAUUACAUGCCCGCCCAUCAUCUAGUUGAAGUGCUUCAGCUUUGGCUUCAUCAAAUUGAAUCCAGUCAUUCUUAUGAAAAGUUGUCAUUGUAAAAUUUGAGUUCAGUCUCGUAGCCUCGAACUCAAGUUUGAGCAUAGUCAAGCUCAACUUUAAACCUAAUCGAGUUUAAAUUAAAGUAAACAAAUAAUUGUUAUGUUUCUUAGAAUAAAUAAAAUCACCUUGUAAAUAAUAAAAAAAAAUAUGGGGACAUAUAUGUAAUUAUUAUUAGUGUAGACACCAAAAUUUUUAUAAAUCAUUUUAUUAUUUUUUUUAUAAGAAAAUAAUUUUAUCUCAUUUGAUUUUUAUUUGAUUGGUUUUGUAGGAAAAUCAAAGAAAGAAAACAAAAAUAUAAUAAAAAUGAAAAUUGCAGUUUUUCAAAAAAAAAAAAAGAUUCCUUGUGUACGUGCGCAUUACUUUCCUCGUGCGUACUAGAAACCAGCAGCGGGAGUACAAGGUAGCAGCCGGGUUUGAAGGAUCCAAAUCCUUUUUUGGCUUCGAAUUUUUCUUGUUUUCCAAGCUUGAUUUCUACAAGACACAUCACCAUCAGAUUUUUAUCAAAACCAGCGUCAAGAAAGGAUCGAAGGAACUCAAGAACAUCGGCAACCAUAUUUGUGACUCCAUUUUUUGGACUCAGAUUAAUUUGGAAGUGAAAAACAAUCUUUGAAGGGCUAUGAACAAUUAGGGAAAAAAUUGCUAGUAUGGAAAUUACUGGGGCUAGCUGAAAUUAUAUCAAAAGGGAGAAGGGUGUAGAAUCUUGAAAUCUUUUCUAGAUGUGAUUAGGAUUUGAGUUUAUUAAAUGACAAGAAUGGAAUUUAUUGGAUUUCUUUGUUUCUUGGAUAAAAUGGUGUAAGUAGUUUGCUUGCAUGACAAGGCUAACACACUCACUUAUAUUGUUAUUAAUUUGCACUAUCUUUUAUCUUAUUAACAAUAUUAGUAAUUGUGACAAUAUAAAUCAAGGACAACAUAUAAAAGAGAGUGUAGUAGUCCAAUCAAUGAUAACUUUAAUAAAAUUAAUAGUAUGUAGAACCCUAUAAAUCAAUAAUAAUGUGUUAAAAGUGGUCAAAAUGGGCCAAGAAAUCGCAACUAUAACAAAACAAUAAAUUGUCAUUAAUUUACACUAUCUUUUAUGUUGUUAACAAUAUUAGUAAUUGUAACCGUACAAGUCAAUGACAGUACGUUGAGAGUGGUCAAAAAGAGUCAAGAAAUUGCAAAUAGAACAACACGAUACAUUGUCAUUAAUUUGUAUAUUCUCUUGUUUUAUUAAUUUUACUAAUAUUGUCAUUGAUUGAACAUAAAUGAAAUAAACUUGAGAUUUAGGGUACAAAGUGUCUAAAAUUGAGAGUUUAGGAUGGAAGUCAAAAAGUAGCAUUACAGGCUUGAGUCUAGAGGUAUGGGAGUUAAUCCCAUUAUUAAGUUGUAAUUAUUUAAUGGCACUUUUAGCCUUUUUUUUUUUUUUUUCAGUUGGGGGUGUCCGGGCCUACACCCGACUAGUCCCCCAACCCCGAGGAGAGCGGGCCCCACCGAUCCCCAGGAAGAUACCCCGGUUGCUCAAGCUCAGGGUCGAACCCCAGACCUGUCUCACCUAAAGAGGCUACACAGGCCAUCCGAGCUAACUGAGGGGGGCGCACUUUUAGCCUUUAGAUAUUAAGCAUAUUUUUCGUUGAGAAAACCUAUUCCGAUUUUGAUUAAUAGAACCUAUCUAUAUAUACACAUGAUAAUGACAGUUGGCAGUCUGCGUCUUGAUUGUGAUUUGUGAAGAUAAGGGUUAAAGAGUGAGAUUCUGGGUAAAGAAAGAAAGAAAGGAGUGUUGCCUCCGUUUCUCAGAAGUAUUUGUUUCUGCCGCCAGAGAGAGAGCCAACCGCCCCGUCAGCCGUAUUUUCAAGGGCGAUUUAAGGCGGAGGCACUGGGGGCGGGCACGGCCCCACUACCCUUUAAAUUCCUAUAAUACUUAUACAACUAGUGGGAAUACUCGUACUACGCACGGUGCUGAUAUUAUUGGAAAAACUAAAAAUAAAAGGGUGAGCAAAUAAAGGUGAAAAAAUUGCAGCAACAAAAUUAAAAUGUAAUAUCUGUUUAACAAUAACUUGAAAUAUGAUAGAAUGUGUAUAUCAUUCAAGAAUUGUUUUUUUUCGGAAGAUGAAUUCUGAAAAAAAUAAUAAAAAUUUAUAUUAAAAAAGGAAUGAUAUAUUUCUACAAAUGAAUGUAAUUGAAUAUUGUUAAAAUGAAAUACUUACAAAUACUAAGCAUUCGAUUUGAUAAUCUUGUUUGAAGGUGCGAACACUCUUUACACCAAUCCACUUUUAAUACGAGAGUCAAAAUUGAUGAUUUAAUUAACUCUGUUGAAUUUUGUGGAGUGCGUACUAUAAAUGAAAAUGCAUGAUUUUUGCAUGAAUUAAUUCAUUGGCUAAACAACCUAUCACCAUUUUCCUAAUAAUUAAGAAUGUACGAAAUUAGUGUAUUUUUUUACAUAGUUUAUAAAUAGUACUAUAAAAAAUAAAUAUAUAUUAAGAAAUUCUACCUUCCUUUAUAAUUUUUUGAGAUAAGAAGCAUCACAACCAUAUACGAAUCGUGCAUGUCUGUCUUGUAGAUUAAGAUGCAUGUUACCACUGGAAUUUUUGAUUUGUAUGUUAACAUUAUACCUGUUUGACAAAUAAAAUAUUAUAUACAAUACAGAAAAUAUAUAUUGAAAAAAAGUAUAGACAUAUUAUAGUAUUGGAAAUAAUCGAAAAUAAUAAAAAAUAUUACAGUAUUGGGAAUAAUAUUUGAAAUUACAAUGUAAAUGCCAAUAUUUAAAGAAUACACAGUACCGGAAUUUUUAAUUUGAUGCGAACGACAUUUUAAUCGGUGUAGCCUGGAUUUUGUCCUUCGAAUUUGAUUUGAGAUUUCUCUUUCGUCAGCGCAAAAUUGUUGAAGUUUUUCCAACUAGUGUGUGGUUGCGGUGUACGUUUCGUUUUCUAAGCAAAUGUUUCCUCCGUUGCAAUCUUGCGAGUUUGAAAAUUAGUUGCUGUUGAAAUGCUUGUGGGCUGGCAUAUUCCACGGUGAAAUUAAGUUAAAAACUAAGAUCUAGCUUUGUUCUUGCGGGUUGAUCUGAAUAAAGGCCUGUUUUACUUUGACAAUAGUUAUAGACCUGUUCCGCUUGUUCAACAGCAUGUUGGAAUCUCAGUAGAAAACCCUCUGCAGAGAUUUCAGUUGAUGGAUGAUGUGUGCUAUGAGAAAGUAAUGAGUGUUGCUGGAAAGCAUCAGGUUCUUAUUUUUGUGCACUCUGGGACAGAAACUGCCAAGACAGCCCAUGCACUACGUGAUGGUGCACUUGCUAAUGAUACUAUUGGUAAAUUCUUAAAAGAGGAUAGUGUAAGCCGUGCAAUUCUGCAGAGUCACACAGAGCUUGUAGAGAGCAAUGAUCUCAAGGAAUUGCUACCCUAUGGUUUUACAAUUCAUCAUGCUGAGAUGGUCACAGCUGAUCGUCGAAUUGUUCAGGAUCUGUUUUCUGAUGGGCAGAUACAAGUGUUGGUUUCCACAGCAACUCUUGCUUGGGGUGUCAAUUUACCAGCUCAUACUGUGAUUAUUAAAGGCACCCAGAGAUACAAUCCUGAAAAAGGAGCAUGGACUGAACUAAGUCAUGUUGAUGUAAUGCAGAUGCUUGGCCGUGCCGGAAGGCCUCAACAUGACAGUUGUGGUGAAGAAGUUAUCAUUACUGGACAUAGUGGUCUUCCAUAUUAUGUGUCUGUGAUGAAUCAGCAGCUUCCCAUUGAAAGCCACUUUGUAUCGAAAUUGGCUGAUCGGUUGAAUGAGGAAAUAGUCCUUGGAAGCGUUCAGAAUGCAAAAGAAGCUUGCAUUUGGCUUGGUUAUACUUGUAUGUUUAUACGCAUGCUUCGGAAUCCUACACUUUAUGGUUUAGCUGCUGAUGUUUUAGCUGUAGAUAGUCGGUUGGAGAAAAGGAGAGCUGAUCUGGUAAAAUUUCUGCACAUGCCUCGUAUAUUUAUUCAACUGAUUUUGUGCACUUCAUAGUAGCCCCCUCCUUUCCCCAUUUUAACUUCCCUUUUUGGUUAAUCUGCUUUACAUAACUCUAAACUCUGUUAGAGCCUGCUUUCAUGGAGCUGAAUGUUGUCUAAAACUGUUUCUUUUUCUUUCAUUUUUGAAAUUGAAAAGUUUUAAUUUCCUGUGAGGAUCAAUAACGAGUUCUAUUUCUGUAAGAUAAAUAGAGCUGUGGUUUUAGUGUCCACAUAUUUAUGAGUUUGCUGUGUGCAUUUGUCUUAUUCCUUUUUUGGGAUUUUUUUUUGUUAGGGGGGGGCUUUGAAUUAGUGUUUUGUUGCCUUGAAUUGUAUUAUCGUUGUUAUUUGGCAGUUGUAGCAUCCUGUAGUCAAACCCAGUAUACAUUUGGAAUGCCCUGUAGCUUUACCUUCUUGAAUGCCUUAUGCAUAUCUGCUUUCCUGACUUUGUUCUCAUGGCGCAGGUUCAUUCAGCAGCGACAUUGUUGGAAAAGAAUAGCUUUAUAAAAUAUGACAGAAAAAGUGGACAUUUCCAGGUCACUGAUUUGGGACGCAUUGCAGCUCUUACUGUAUAAUUCUCUGGAUAGUUUCUACAUGCAAUGAACACUUGGAAAAUGAACUAUGACCUCUUUUCACAGGAGAGAGGAGAGCUGAUCAGUUUCUCCAAGAAGGGGAGAAGUUUGCACGAGUUCAUACAUCCGUUCCCUGAGUUUAAGCUAGUUGCUUAUGUUCAAACAUGUGCUCAUCCUGUUUUGGGAUCAAAAUCACCAUGGCACCAGAUUUCCAGUGGGGUGACAGAGUACAUGAAUUUGUAUAUUUUGGAUAACUGUGGAAUUUAAUGACGGAAAAAUAUGUUGUCCCUCGUGAUUUCUUGCUAAAGCUUCAAUAUAUUUGCAAGGAUCACACUUUGGAUUUUACAGACUCAAUAGAUAUGAUCCAGUGCCUUGGUACUUUUUUUUUUUUUGUCACGCCACCAUAUAAAUGGCUUUAGUAUUUUUUUUGUGUCGCGCCAUGUAGAUGGCUUGGGUCAUAGACUAUUUCAUCCAUUUCUUUCAGGCGCCUGAUUCUGCCAGCCAGAGGAGUCCUCUCCUCCUAUUAUACUUGCUAUCCUUGCUGCGACAGCAUCGAGAAACCCAGCUUAUGAAGCUCUCUGUCAACAGUUCAGUACCAAGGUUUUGUGUUUAAUAUUGGGAAGUGUUAUUUGCACUUCUAUUUUUGUCAAUCACGCAUCUACUGUCGUUUCAAUUAUGUUAUAGUUUUCAAUUUUUGGAGUAUAUGAUAAAAUAAAUAGUGGAAGUGUAAAUAAUAAAAAAUUAGAGUGUAGAUAACAUUUUCUUCAGUAUAUUGUCACAAUGAUAAGUAGUAUCUUUUCAUUUUUUUUUAUCUUUUGGUGUUUGAUCCUAAACGGCAUGGCAUGCCUUUUAAGCAAAAUAAGCAUUGGAAACGUAUUGUCACAUUCAAAACAUUGACAACGCCUGAAACGUAUUGUCCAUCUACGGAAAUUUGUUCUAGUGAAAUAGUUAUUAUGCUGCUGCAACAUUUUUUCAUUUUAACGGGACUGAAGUUAUACGCUGAAUUGUCAGGUAAUUCGUGGUACCAAUCUGAAUAAAACAGUACAAUCCAUCCACAUUGCGUAUUUGCAUUACGGUUACAAUCAUAUUGUGGGAAAGUUCUAUGAUCCUUUUUGAGUAUCAUUGUAUCUCUGACUAAAUAUAAUAAUUUAAAAUUUAAAUCUCUAAUAAUAUUUAAUUUAAAGUUUAAUAGCACUUUUUUUUCACCAUCUAACGGUAAAUUUCACUUGUAAGGAUGAUAUUCAAGAAAGAAUUGUGCGUUCCCUGCUCAUAGUUACUUUUAAGAUGUAAUUGAAUCGUAUUAAUUUCAAAAACCUCCUUCGUUCGGCUUAUUUUUUGCUUGAUGGUAGUAGAUGAAUAAUUUUUAAAGAUCCCUAAUGGUUCUUUUUGUCAUGAUUUUUUGAAUAAAAAAAAAGGACCCCCAUAAUUUGUUUGUACUACCAAACAAAUGCCUACCUGACAAUUUUAUUAUUAAUAGGCAGCAAGAAAUCAACUUAGUGGGAGUAGCUCUAGGAUUUGACAAAAAAUUUGCAUUUAGUUUUACCAUAUAUAGCUUGAGUAAUACCACGAGUCAGUUUGCAUCAUUUUUGGCUUAUCCUAUACAAAAUAGAGAGGCAAUCUCGAGAGAAUUUACAGAAGGAUUAUUUUCUUAUACAACUAAUUUUGUACCUGUUCGUUGAAUGGGAAUCGUCGAAAAAUAAUAAACUAUUUAGUCAAUUUUAUAAAAAUGACGAUAUAAAAUACAAACUUAAUGUAUAAUCUAUUAUAACCUGUCUUAAGUAUAUUACUAUUUGCGCAUUGUAAUAUAAAGUAUUCUUAUAAUAUAAAUUUGAACAUCUAAUUCAGUGAAUAAUAAUUCAAAAAUGGAAAAAAUAACAUUCAAUAAUUCCAUAAUAUUCAAAAACUUGAAAAUAAAUAAAAAGUGCAGUAAAUAGUAUCAAAUAUUAUUCUACUCUUCAGAAAUUACUUAUUUUUCUACUCCUUGUAGUGAUAACAGUUCUUAAUUACUUCGGUUCCCUAUGUAGUACACAAAUUAUUGGCAUGAAUUUGGAGAUAUAUUUGAAAGAGAUAUUUAUGUCUCUUUUAUUUAUAUCGCGUUACUUUCCAGUUCCUUUUUUUUUGUUGUUUUUCCUAAAGGCAAAUUAACAAACAUCUUAGCAUAUGAUCACAAAAAUCAAUUAACAAACAUCUUAGCAAAAAUCCAACAAAAAUAACGAUGAAAAUACUUGUUUAAAUCCUAUGUCUUCAUACAAAACAAACAGAAAAUAAAACUCAAAAAACAAAAUUCAAGAUAUGUUACUAAACUCUUACAAUUGAAAAUCAAUGUGUCUUUUUUUUAAAAAAAAAAAUUGUGUAUUGAAGGAAGACGGACCUAAUAAUCAAGAGGAGUGAAAACCCAAAAUUGAUGCUUUAAUGUGCCAACCGUUUGCACUGAAAAUACCUAAUCAUGAAUUUGAUGCUUGAAGUUCAUAUAUUAGAGGCUACAUGUAUUGUAGGCAUAGGAAAUAAAAAUUGAUAAGGAUAUAGAGAAAUAUUGAUAAGAAUAUUAAAAGUAGGUUUAUCUUGAUUUAAGUUGCUUAAAAUAUGUAACUUUGGGUAGGAAAUAAGAAUCAUAUAAUAUUAAGAAUUCUUAUAGGAAAUAAGAAUUAAUAUACAUCCAAACAAAAAGAGGCGCAAGCGGCUGCAAAUAUAUAAUUAUGUCUUCAUACAAAACAAACAAAAAAUAAAACAAAAAAAAAAACAAAUUCAAGAUAUGUUACUAAAUUCUUACAAUUGAAGAUCAACAUGUCUUUUAAAAAAAGUGUGUAGUGAAAGAAGAUGUACCGAUAAUCAAGAGGAGUGGAAACCCAAAAUCGAUACUUUAAUGUGCCAACCGCUUGCACUGAAAAUACCUAACCACAAAUUUGAUGCUUGAAAUUCAUAUAUUAGAGGCUAUAUGUAGUAUAGGCAUAAGAAAUAAGAAUUGAUAAGGAUAUAAAGAGAUAUUGAUAAGAAUAUUAAAAGUAGUUUUAUCUUGAUUUAAGUUGUUUAAAGUACGCAACUUUGGGCAGGAAAUAAGAAUCAUAUAAUAUUAAAAAUUCUUACAGGAAAUAACAAUUGAUAUACAUCCAAACAAAAGGAGGAGCAAGCGGCCGCAAAUAUAUGAUUAUGAUAGAAUGAUAAUGGGUCUCAAAUAUAGGAUAAGAUGCAAGGAUGGUUUUAUAAGUCAUAUUUGGAUGAUAAGGACGGUUUUAUAUUUGUAAUUAAAUUUAGAUAGAUAUUGACAAUUGAUUACAUGCUUAUGAAAGGAGAGAGAUGAGCUCCAUAUAGGGCGUAAAAAAAAGGUGAAAAUCGUGAAAUAAAUGAACAAAGGCAAAAGAAGAGAGAAAUAGAAUGUGGUAGGUCAUUUUAUAGAGCGUGUUGAAACUACUUGCCGUAUCGUUAAGCCAUAUAGAAUAGAGAAAAUAUGAAGCGUAAGAAUAAAAUACGACUUUAUUAUAUAUAUAUAUAUAUGAUGAAACUAGGGGUGUGCAAAAUCUAAAAAUUUCGAUUUGCCGACCGAAUUCAAAUUGAAUUCAGAAUUUUAGAAAUCGAUAAUUCGAAAUUCGGCACUGAAAUUGAAAUUUUCAAUUUCGAAUUAUGCGAAUUGUUUGAAUUCGGUAAUGAAGUUUUUGAAAUCGGAAUUUUCGAUUUCAAUUUCAUUUUAUAAUAUAUAUUAAUAUUUAUUUAUUUAUAUAUAUAUAAUAUUUAUUGCAAUUUUGUUUUAUAAUAUGUAUAUUAAUAUAUAUAUUAAUAUAUAUAAUAAUAUUUUUUUUAAUAUAAAAUUUAUAUUAUAUAACAAUACAUCUAACAAAAAAAGGGAAAAAAGGUCUUCGAAUUCGGUGAAUUCGAAAUCAAAUCGAAAUCGGAACUGAUGAAUUCGAAAUCGAAUUCGAUCAGUAAUUUCUAUGCCAAAAUUUUGAAAAAUUUUGAAUUCAAACUUCUGAAUUAUCAAAUUUGAAUUUGAUACAUACCCCUAACGAAACAGUAGACAUAAACAACACCAAAAAUGCAAUAUUCUCUAUGGCACAAUCAUUUAGAAUCUGUGUGGGCCCAUUGAAGAUCUGUAAAUGUCAAGUCCAUAUUUCAUAUACUGGCAAUGCGGCGUUCUGAUUGAUUCUCAGCAUAAAAUUCUUGCCGGUUGAAUGGAUAAUUUUUUAAUUUUUUCUUUUAGUCGUGGAGCAAACCUUUUUUUUUUAAUGGGAAAAGAGUCCCAAUAGCCAUCUAACUAUUAGCCAGGUGAACUUUUGACCCUCCAACAAUUAAGAGUAAAUUUUUGGCCCUCGAUCUAUCGAAAGUGCAAAAUGUUGGACCUUCUAUCAAGUUCAGUCGUUAAGAUUGAUAGAAACUAACGCCACAUGAAACUUAUGCUAAAAUAUGAAGGGCAUUUUGGUCUGUUCAGCAAUUUUCUGUUUGGUAAAAAGGGAUUUCUUCCCCAACAAAAAGCUAUAGGAAGAAAAUCUCCCUGGCAGCUGAAGCUUUAGUAUGAUUUAAGCAAAGCUCUUCAGUAUGAUUUAAGCAAAGCUUCUCUGACAUAAAUUAAGCAAUUCCCAAUAGUAGGUUACUAAAGCUGCAAGCUUUAGAUCUAUGAACCUUUCAUGCUCUUCCUUCAUUGUCAUGUGAUUGAAAGUCAUAAGAAUUAAGACGGAAUCACCCACACUUAUGCAGCAGUUUAGCUAAAACUUCAAGGAACACCAUCGUCACGCUAUGUACUAGCUGCAUUAUUGUUGUUGUGAAGCAUUUUCUUUGACAUGAAUUUCUUUGACAUGAUAGCAGAAGAGAGAAGCCAGAGAUUGAAUAGCUUAAUUAUUUCUUGAAUUGACUUUGUGGGGGGGGAGGGGAAGUGAGGAGGAGAAGUUGGGAAGGAGGAGGCAGCCCAUGGUGGAUUUGGUGGGGAAGGAGUGGAGGGAACGGGGCAGAGGCUAGAGAGAGCUUUUUGGAACCGGUAGAUACCAGAAGAUCAAGAAACCUUAACUUCAGCCAAAAUCAACACCAACCCAUCUCAGAAACAGAUCCAAUCCCUUCACUCGUCGACUCAAAUCGCUCAAAAUCAACCAUUUCCUCUUGGUACCUGUAAUUCCCCAGCGGAAGCUUCAAGAGAUAUGCACUGGUGAUGAUCGACGAAUUGCAGGAGCUUCCAACCACUUGCGGUAGAGGGAGAGAGAAUGGUAAAAGGCAACAAUUAAGUUAAACUGAUUUUUACUCCUUUUUACUUAGUGGAUGACAACUUGAACUAAAAUGCCCCUUGUAUUUCAGCAUGCAUCUCACGUGAUGUUGGUUUCCAUUAGUUUUAACAGCUGAACUUGACAGAAAGUUUAACUUUUUGCACUUUCGAUAGAUCAAGGGUCAAAAUUUGAUUCUUAAUUAUUGGGGGAUCAAAAGUUCACCUGACUAAUAGUUAGAGGGCCAUUGGGACUCUUUUUCCUUUUUUAAUUUAAUAUGCGUGUGUGUGUGUGUGUGUGUGUUUUAUUUUAUUUUAUUUUUUUUGGUUUCUUAGUUAAGUGUGAUCAUCUUAUGGACGUUAGCUGGAACCCAAGACCAUGUAUCAUACGGCAUUCAAUUCCUCAAUGAUCUUUCAGGGUAGAUAUAUAUUUUCUAACUCUCAAUAUUGGCCUAGCUGGAAACCAAUACCUGGAUGCAUCUCCUCUGAAUCUUUUGGGUUUUGGAUGUCAAGACACCAAAAAUGCUGUUACAUGAUCGGAAAAAAACAAAUUUCUUAUGGAUAUAUACUUUUCUUAUUUCUUCUCUAGCAAUAUUAAAUUAGUGUUAGUUAUCUAUGAGGCAAUGUUUUAAAACUCGGACCGUUAAUUGAACUGGUGAAAUGUUCGUAUUAAAGUUCAACAGGUUGGACCCGUUCAAUCGUGGUUCAAUAAAUUUUUUUAAAAAAUAAUUUAUAUAAAUAUAUAUAUAUAUAUGUACAAAUAAGACAUGCAAUGAACCAAUUUAAAACUUUAUAUGAUGAAAAAUUUAAUAUUUUUGAAUAACUUGGAUUUCAAAAAUAAAUUUUUUUAAAUUAUAAGUUGAAACAAAUAAAUUUCAUCUCAAUCUCAAUUAUAUCUACCAAAAAUAAUCUUAAAUCCAACCCAAAAAUACCACAAUAUUUUGAAAUUAUUCAAAAUUUACGUCGAUGGGAAUUUAGACACUGUGAGUUUAAAUUUAAAUUUACGUUUUUGGAAUUUAGAGAUUGCAAUUAAAAAAAAGCAGUUUGGAGUCUAAAGGAAGUUAGGAGAAUCAAAAAUAGAAAUGCAAAUUUGAUAAGAAACAAAAAAUGAGAUAAAAGUGAGUGGUUGUGGCAUUUAAUAAUUAGUCUUUAGGAUAAAAGAAAAAUAAUUCUUUUUUUAAUUUUUUUUCAAUUUAAUGGAUAAAAACAAAAUUAAAAGAUGGAAGAAAACAUCAAUAAAUUAAAACUAAAGAGAUUUGAUUAAAAAGGGUGAUGCGAACUCGAAUUCCCAAACUCCCGCUCUUGAAAAAAUGAAUUGCAUAGACAGUGGAAAAAUAUAUUUUGAUUAGGUUAUAAAACAAAAGUUGAUGGAAAAAUCUCGACCUCUCUAAGCCUUGAAAUUAUGAAUCUUGAAUUUAAUCUUGAAAUUAGCGAAUCCAGACUUGUUGGUUGAACGGUGCCACAAUUCAAUGUGGUUUUGAAUUGAUAAGUCAAAAUUUGAACAAAUGCGACAUGACUUCGUAUCAAGGAACAAGAAAGAGAGAACUCUCAAAUUUUAUUCAUUAUCUGACUUAACUAUAAAAAACGUUGACACUUGAGACUUAUUUAUAGCCUUGUACAAGAUUCAAAGACCUAAACCAACUUGAAAACAAUUAACUACUUCACUAAAACUCUAACUCGACUGGAAUCGGAAACUAACUAAUUCAAAUUGGUUUAACUAUAGUCAACAUGAUCUUAACCUUUAUUCCUCUUAUUAAUGACUAAAAAAUGACUUGAGACUAAUUCUAAUUAACUAACAAUUAUUGUUAGAAACUUAAUUAAAUAAACAAUAACAAGAUAUAAGCAUGACACAGGUUCGGAUUUUCAAUGAUUCUUGAGGCCGAUUGCACCAUCAACUAAUGUUUUCGAAGGUUAGACGAUUAUGAAUGAAAAUUGAGAGUUUUCUUUUUCUUGUUCCUUGCGAACGUCCCUUGAUACAAAGUGAGUCGAAUCUCCUUUGUUCAAUUUUGACUUAUCAAUUUAAGAUCAUAUUGAAUUGUGGCGCCAUUCUACUAAUACAUCUUGGUUCGCGCUAUCUGUUGAGUUGUGGGUCAUGAUUAGAUUCAAGAUUUGCAAUUUCGCGGGUUAGAGGGUCAAGAUUAUUCCAUCUUCUGUAUCCAUAAUUUGGUCAAGAUCGAUCCUUUUAUUUCCUGAUCGGAUCAUUUCUUCAAUAGUGGGAGUUUGGAGAUUCGAUUUUAUAUCAGUUGGUAUCAGAAUUUCGACUCUUGAUCCAAGUUAAUAUUCUUUUCUUUUCUUGUUUUCUUUUAUUCUUCUACCAAACCCUACCCAAUUAAAAAAAAGAAAAAAAGUUAUGUUCAUUAUUCUAGGAUUUGAAUCUCGUGUAAUCAUAUUUGUUAUCGUUUAUUCAAUUCUUAUUUCUUGUUGAGUCAUCUUCAUUUAUGGUUUAUUGAGUCAAAAAAAUUGGUACUGCAGCAUCAUACUAUUCAUCGGAGCAGUGUAGCAUUUGUUACUAUUCAUCGAGACUGCAGCAUCAUUACUGUAGCGAUACUGUUCAUCAUACUAUAGCAGUUAUUGUUCAUCCAAAAAACAUUUUCCCUAUACCUUGUAUUUGUCUCUUAUUGUUCUUGAGUCUUAUAGUUGGUUUGGUUUUCUUGAAAUUCUUGGAUUGUACUGUUGUGAUUCUUGAAAUCCUAGUUUAUCUUGUUGAACUUGAAAUUCCAGCUAUCCUUGUUUCUUAAUUUGAUCUGUGGAAAAAGAAAAACUAAGAGAAAAGAAUCUGAUAUAUGAAAAAAAAAAGAAAGAAAAGAAAAAAGAAAUAAGUUCGUGGACAUAUUAUGGUCUUGAAUUUGAAAACAAGAAAAUAGUUUUGAAUUUGAAAAUCUAAUUUAACUUGGAUUGUUGCCAAAAUCUAGUCACACAAAUUCUUGUCCAAUUUGGUUUGUUAAGCUGCUUGAAUUACCCUUAGAAAAGUUUCUUAAAAUAUCAAUUGCUUUUCAAAAAUGAAUCUAAAAAUCAAUCAAACUAAGUUUCCAAAUUUCUGCCAAGUACAAUUGGGUAGAGUGUCAUCUAGGCUUCUAAAUUUCUGCCGAAUUGUGUCUUGUUGUUUCAGCUUCAAAGCUGAUUUGUCCAGCCAUAUAUUGUCCAUUUUGAGUCGUGUUCCGUAGUGUUUUGUUCCUAUAAUGUUUUGUCAUAAAUAAUUUUCAGCUGCACUUGAAUCAAUUUUUCAGCUUUUCUCUUAUAUUGAGUCAUGAAAUCCAGCCGUGAAUUACCUCUUAUUUUAAUUUCAUGUCACAUACCAUCAUGAGUUGAAUUGUUAGUCAUUCUUGAUCAAUUGUGACAAAUUCAUAUUGUCUGAAGGGUGAUGAUCAAUGAUUUGAAAGAGUUGGUGAGAUCAAUAGAGCGUAAAACACUUGAGCGACACACAAAUGACAAGUGUAAACACGUGAACUUGUGCGGUGAAGAAAAUACCUUUUGUUUCACUAACUUUUGCAGGUUCCCUUAUACAUCACGUCGAAUAUGAGACGUCUAAAAGUUAGCUUGCAACAUCGUCUUUCUGAUUUUAAGGAAAUCAAAGAAGUGGCAUUACGUGGUAUAGAUGAGCAGUUGGAUAUCAUCAAAUCUUAGUUGCAUGGUUGAUUUUUCAUUCAUUGUGUUGUCAAAGAUAAAAUUUGUAAUUUGGCCAUUGAUAGGAGUUGUAAGGCCAAUCUUGUAAGUGCUAUCGUAGUUGAGAAAUUAAAUCUUCUAACCAUUGAUCAUCUUCAACCGUAUAAGUUGCCGAGUGCUUUCAUGCCAAGAUUCAACUUGAAAGCUAGGAAUCAUCUCCAACAAGAGCACAUUUACUUGCUUCAAGAUUUAUUGUGUUCUCAACAACCUCUGACAGGUGAUCAAAUAGAUGCCUGUGACUAAAUCCCUGCAAGUUAUACUAAUGUCCAUAUACAAAUUUGGAUUCUGAAUUCCAUACACAAAUGUCCAUAUCAGAUAAUCUGUUGCAUCCUACUUGUUUGUAUCACCUCAACAACCACCUCAGGAUUCAAGCUGUGUGCAGAUAAUGAUGCGAAUGGCUUUCAACUCCGAAUGCUUCAUAUAGGAACUUCUUGCAUCUCUUCAGAACUAUCUCAAAUAACACUUGCAUAGACGCCCAGAGAAAGCAGACAAAUAGAAGAUAUACACAAUGUGACAAGACAAUCAGCUAACUCAUAUAGAUUUAUUACUUAUGACAAGAACAAACCUUGGGAAUAGUGAUCUUCCUCACUAGGUUCCUCAAGACUUUUUAAUGGGAAUACUGAUGCGGUCCAGAAGCUUUGCCAAUUUCAUCUUCUCAUCUUGCCUCAUUGUUGUAAAAUUUAGAAUACCACAAUUACAAACAGGCUGUACGUUGUGAUGUUAAGAGGAAAUAUAGGACCUCGCACUCUUACUCAAAAUCAAUUUAUUUUUAGACUUUUCACUCUCUUUUUCUUGCUCAAUAGCUGACUCAACAAUUGAUUUUUCUCUCUUAUUACUCUCAGCCUUUUUUUUCUUUUUCAACUCUCUCGAAUUUUACUUCAUCAAUCAAUAUUCACUCAAUUAGCUCUUUCUUCGCACUAUAACACUCAUGCUUAUUAUUCAUAUAUGUUAGAUCAAUACAAAAUUGCUUAUAAUCAAGUGAUAUAAGUGUAGAAUGAUGACCAUUAAAUACGAAGGAAUACUUAUCAGUACGUCCAUCAUAUUUAACUUCUGACCUCAAUAUCCACGCUUUACCCAACAAUACAUGUGUCACUUGAAUUGAGAUUACAUCACACAAUACCGCAUCCAAAUACUUACCAAUUUGAAAGGAUACAAGUGUGUGCUUAGUAAUCCAAAUAUCACAAUGAGCAAGUAUUAAUGGUUUUUUGCAGGUUGAAUGAAAUGAAGUAAAGAUGGUUUUGAUAUGCAUCAUUUCUAAACCUUUUAAUAGAUUGAUGAUUUUUGGAGGAGUUGUAAAUUUCUACCAUUAAUCUAUGGCAAAGUGUACUGCUUUCGUGAACAAGUUUCUAGAUCUUCAUGUUCUCAUAUUCUUCAUUUUCCACAAGCAACAAAAACACAGAAUUAUUGCCUCUUUUUUUCCAGCCAGCUUCUGUAUGCUUUACCCAAAAUGUACAAAUCUUCAUCCGGAAAAGGAAAUCCACAGCCACAACCCUGAAGUGAACGUUUGAUAAUGCACUUCGUAUUAUCGUCAUCAACAAAAUCCAUGUGGAGUUGCUCAACUUCUUACACAACAUAAUUGUUGAGACACCAAGCACCAUAAAAAUCAACAUAUACCCUCAGCUCAACCGCUAGAACCAACAAUCUCAAACUUUCAAAAAGUCUUACAUCAUUAGUACUAUAUAACAGUGUCCAACGUAAUGAAAAUACUGUUGCCUAUGAGAAGUUGAAUUCCAGCCUUUUUCGCGCAAGUGAUCGCAAAGUUCUGAAAAACGUUCAAGCUAUGGAUCAUGUAAUUUUCUUUGUCUCGAACAUCCAGACGUUGACAUUGCAGCGUAAUAAUGUCUAAAGAAUUCUUAGUUUGUGCCGUGAGAUUCUGUUCCAUUUCAGCUAUUGUCUUGUACAUGCCAGAAAUCUCUUGCUCCAAACGGGGUAUCAUCUCAUCAAGCUUCUUCUUCUUUUUAGAACAAGUCUUGAUCAAAUCUUUCAUUCUUUGACCUUUUCGUUUAGAUUAGCUGUUUUUGGGAGUGUUUUUAAAAAUUUUUACUGUAGCAGAGUUUUUAGAUUAUAUUUUGAGAUAUAUUUAGAAAAUAUUUUGGGAUAUUUAAGAAUAGAAGAGUUCCUAAAAUAUAUUUUGAGAUAUUUUUUAAAAUUUUAGAAAAAUUUAAACUAAUUUUUAGAUUACCUUUUAGAGUACUUUUUAAAAAUUUUUAUUGUAUUUGAAAAACUAGUUUUUGAAAAACAAUCCCAUCCGAACAUAUAAUCAAUUUCAAGCCCUGUGAUUAUAUUAUAAAUUAGUUUCUUGCCAGCAUUCGAACUCAAUCAAUUUCUGCAAUCAUACAAAAAAUCAAGACUUACAAUACCAUCAGUCAGCCUUCAAAAUAAAUAAACCAAAAAAAAUAAAAUGAAAAAAAUCAACUUGAAGAAGAAAUUGUGGAGAAAGAAAUCGAAUCUUGUUAGUAGAGCAUGAACCAGCGAGACUUAUAUCACUAACCAAAUCAAACCUCUUUCUCUUAAGAUCUUUUCUAGUGUUUGGGAUUCUUAUGAAAUCAUCAACAGGAAUUAACUGAGAGAGUGUGUGAGAAAAUUAUUCCGUUAACUUUAAUCGAAAUGAGAAUCAGUCACGAUAGAAGCUAGCAUUAUUAAACCAUUGUUUCUUCCAGAUAUUUUAACAGUCCGGAAAUAAAUCCGUAAUUCUACUAGUAUCAAUUAUGUCAUCUCCUGCUUUACCCAACAAUACAUGUGUCACUUGAAUUGAGAUUACAUCACACAAUACCGCAUCCAAAUACUUACCAAUUUGAAAGGAUACAAGUGUGUGCUUAGUAAUCCAAAUAUCACAAUGAGCAAGUAUUAAUGGUUUUUUGCAGGUUGAAUGAAAUGAAGUAAAGAUGGUUUUGAUAUGCAUCAUUUCUAAACCUUUUAAUAGAUUGAUGAUUUUUGGAGGAGUUGUAAAUUUCUACCAUUAAUCUAUGGCAAAGUGUACUGCUUUCGUGAACAAGUUUCUAGAUCUUCAUGUUCUCAUAUUCUUCAUUUUCCACAAGCAACAAAAACAUAGAAUUAUUGCCUCUUUUUUUCCAACCAGCUUCUGUAUGCUUUACCCAAAAUGUACAAAUCUUCAUCCGGAAAAGGAAAUCCACAGCCACAACCCUGAAGUGAACGUUUGAUAAUGCACUUCGUAUUAUCGUCAUCAACAAAAUCCAUGUGGAGUUGCUCAACUUCUUGCACAACAAUAAUUGUUGAGACACCAAGCACCAUAAAAUCAACAUAUACCCUCAGCUCAACCGCUAGAACCAACAAUCUCAAACUUUCAAAAGUCUCACAUCAUUAGUACUAUAACAGUGUCCAACGUAAUGAAAAUACUGUUGCCUGUGAGAAGUUGAAUUCCAGCCUUUUUCGCGCAAGUGAUCGCAAAGUUCUGAAAAACGUUCAAGCUAUGACAAAUAAAAAUUAACUAUCAUCAAGCAAUCUAUUAAGAUAUUAUAAGAGUUAAACGGAUAACGAAACUCAUAACUUGUUGGAAAUAGGAUUGCAAAUGAUUCGAAUUGAAUCGAGUUUUAAACUUAUCGAAUCAAAUUAGACUUAUUUACCGAGCUCAAAAAAUAAAGCUCGAACUCGACUCGACUAGGAAAAGAAAUAUUCGAGAUCGACUCGCUUAUGGCUCACGAGCCUAACUCGAUUUCUAGCUCGCGAGCAGCUCCAGUUUCACUCGAUUUUUUGGUUCAUGAGAAAUUCGAAAUCAGUUCGAAUUUCACUCGACUUUGUAGCUCGUUAGCCGCUUGAGCUCGAAAUCAGCUCGACUUUCUAGAAAUUUAGGCAAGAAAACAACAUUUUUAUCCUCAUAUUUUUGAUAAAAUUUCAUCAUAAUAACAAUAAUUUUCAUAUAUUCUUGAUCCUGAGACCUACAAAUUAUCCACUAAUACAAUCAUAAAUAUAUAAGGCAUAAAAAUUUAAAUGUCUAACAUUUGAAAUGUUCAACCAUUGUUAAUUUGUCAUACAAGGAGUCAAAGUACAAUAAGUCACCAAUAAGUUUCAAAUGUAAAUAGUGUCUUCAACACUUCAUCAACAAGUUGGGUUCCGAUGCAUAAGCUCUCUUCAACAUUAACUAUAUUAUUAAGUAGCAAAAGGAACCAACAAGUGAGCUGCCAAAAAAAAUGGCAAAAUAGCAGCCAAAAAAGUCAAAAAAAAGCAAAAAAAAUUAACCCAUUGAUUGAGAAAUUCAACAUGAAAAACCAACAAAAAAUGGUCAAAAAAACCAGUGAAAAACAGCUUUAAACAUAGCUAAAAACUAGCCAAGAAAAGGGAUCAAACAACCACAAAAAAUUGUCCAUAUCAACCACAAUGAAACAACAACAAAGACAAACACGACAUCUUCAAUGUUUCGAUCUUUUAAGCAGCAAAAAAAAAAUAGCAACUUAGUUGCCAAAAGAAGCCAAAUAGCCGCAAAAAAAAAAAAAAAAAACCACAGAACUGUAGUGUAGUAGUUGACAGAAUCCAGCACAAAAAGUUAUCAAGAAAUAGCCCAAAAAAUCAGCAAAAAUAAACUUAAAUGCACCUACAAACUAGCCAAGAAAAUGACCAAAAAAGUAGUCAAGAAACUUCCAAAUUAAAGGCAUUGAGGUCUUAAUACCAUGAGCUACAAUUGGACAAAAUUCUAAACAAGAAAUUAAAGGCAGGUUAUCUCAAACAUCUCCGACGUCAAGAAAUAGGUAACACAAUCUCUUGUAUAUUCUUAAAUUUCUGCAAAAAUAAAAAAAUUAAAAUAAAGGAACUCAAGAAAUAGUAAGGCAUAUUUUAAAUAUUAUGUGUGAUAAUUUUGAUUUUUAGUCAUCUUUUCCCUUUUCUUCACCCCGUGUAGCUUACGAUACCAAUCUCCAACGCACAUCAAUAUUUCUACAGUUUCUGGAGCUAAAGAAGCAUGGUAAGAGUCGAUUACUUUGGUUCUAGCAUUGAAUGUAGAUUCUGAAACUACAGUACUUAUAGGAAUGACUAAAAUAUCAGCAGCUAUCUUGGGAAGAAUCUUGUAUUUUGUUGUGUCUUUCCACCACUUCAAGGCAUCAAAAAUUCACGAUAUCUACUAUUGAAUCCUCUGCAGCAGUAAGGAAAUCAUUUUCAAAGUAGGUGUCCAACUCAUUUUUGGCGGGUUGAACACUUUCAACGAUAGUGACAGGUGUCGAGCCUAUACAAUAAUAAAUAGAAAAAUACAGAUUUUGUAUAUAACGGUGAGUAGGGUCGAAUCCACAGGGACUGGGGAUAACUUAUUUCUUUUAGAGUCCAGAGAUGGGGGAUUUUUUGAAAAAUAUAAAAUAACUAAUUAACCAACUAAUAAAACAACUAAUAGAAAUAAACAGGAAUUAAUCAAUAACCAAUACGACUCUAGCCAAAGGUGCAACUUUUCAGACAAGGUCCAUUCAACUGAUCAUUGAUGCAAAGAUAAUUUAAUUACUCAUUAAUAGAUUGGUUAUAGCCAUCAAUAAGGUCUGAUAACCAACUUUUCCUUACUUUAUCGAUAGUCAAGGUACGACCGUUGACUAUUUCUCUAAUCAAGAAACAACCCUAAGUACGACCGUGAGAUUUAAUUUCUCGAUUGUAUUAAUAAUUAGAAAAGCCCAACUCUAACCAACAAACACACUACGAAGGUUUGUUUAAAUUAGAUCAUACGUUUUCCUAACAUGAAACCAAUCACUCUAGUCGCCACUGGUAUUAAUCAAUUAAAUAAUUACGGAUUCAAUCAAUUAAUUUGACAUUAGAUCAUCAGGUUAAUUCGAAUAUCGGGCCCUUGAUAUUCAAAUAACAUAAUAAGCAUAAGCAAUUAAAUCAGGAAACGUAAAAAUACCAAUGAAUAAAAGAAAUAAAUAAAAUUAAUUCGAUCUCACAGAUAUUUGGAACCACGCCCUCAAGUUGGCCUUCGACUAGAAGUAGAAAUCUAGUUCAUCUCCGUUGAGAAAAUCCCAUACAAAAUAGUCGAGCUCUUUUACAUGGAUGAUCUCCCCGCAAGUGAUAUAUUGAUUCGAAGUACAUUAAAAGAAAAAUGUAGCAACAAUGUUCUAAUUGUUCCCUUCGGCUUACGGUCGAAAAUAAAGUAAAAGAAAUAACCUACUACUCACUAUCCCUUUCCAAACAUGAAAAGAAGGAAUAAAAAAUAGACUAGCUUCCUCUUUUCUUUCCUAAGAAGUAGUAAUCAAAUGGGAGUCGGCCUUUUCUUUUCCUAUUUUCUAGUUUCCCAAAUACAUUGAACUUCCCAAUUUUCCUAAGAAGAAGAUAUUUUCUCAUAAUCUAAGAUGUUUCACAACUGUAUUUGAAAACAUGCUUCAAAAUGCACUACUACUACUCUUGGUUGGGUGAUCAUUGCUGGUUAGUAGCUGAGAAGAUGACCUGUUUUGGCCUGAAAUAUGUAUCUCCACAUAUUCAUUAAAUAGGUCAUAUAAGACUUGUCAAACCUUGCUUAUAUUGCUUUGCACUUCAUGUGAAGGGUAAAGCAAUGGAAAGCAAUAGGUUAUGACUUUCAUCUUGCACUAGGGAUCCAAAAUAACUGCUAUUUUAACUAAUGGUCAUUUUGAACCUAGCAUUCUCUCGUCAUUCCUAUUUAACUAAUGGUCACGAGACUAGUUUCAUAUUUAUCAUUUUGCUUCUCACAUUAGCUAAUAACUUUAUAAUUUUUGUAGGCUUGCAAAACUGAAAAGUCUGAAACAUACAUAGGAACAGAAUUACAUUAUCCCAUCGAAAUGUAAUUUUAGUUCCAUCAAUUAAUUUCCAAAAAUGUAGACAAGUUUUUUUCUUAAAUUGUACAAUAGGUAUGCAAUAUUUGUGUGCAAUGAUACUUGUUUUAAUAAAGUCCAAGCUACUUAAGACCACUAGAAAUGAGGAUUAAGCAUUGAAAAUGGAUGAUACAAAAAAAAAAAGCAUCGAAAAAGGAUAGAUUGUGCACAACAGCCUCACAAAAGGGCUAGGCCGAAAACUUAGUGGGAGUUACAUUCAAACUUACAAGAUUAGAAUGGAAAAAAAUUGAGAAAAAAAUGGAAAAAUUAAGAGAUAAACAAAUAAAAAUUCACCUGAUAUACUUAAGCAGUGGAGUUGGAUUAAGUAGAGCUCUUGGUGGAGGUGGUGGUGGCCUUGCUCGGUUUCACUUAGAGGUCUUCUUAAACUCAGUCAACUCAAUAGCAGUCGAGCGCGGCUAGUAGUAGAUAUGCGGUCGAUCUGGGGAUGUCGGACAUGGUGGAGAGUGGUGGAGGAGGGCUCAGUGGGUUGCACUGGCAGAUUAGCUUGGAAGUGGCGGAAGUGGAGCUGGCGGAGAUAGCGGUGGCAAAAAUGGGAAUUGGGAGUUUGGGACAGAAGAAAAAUUGAAACUUUGGAUAGAAGAAGCGGGAAUUUGGGAACCUAAUAGAGAAAUUUUGGGAGAGGGAGGGAAAGGGGGCUCUUGUAAAUUUUAAUUGAUGUAAGGAUAUUUUAGUAAUUUUACAUUAAUUCUUAAGAAAUAGAGGCUCAAGAUCGACUCGUAUGUAUUAAUGAGUAAUGAUUCGAGCUGCUCGCGAUUGUCAGCAACCCUAGUUGUGUCACGCCCCAUUUUUUUUGAAAGAAAUAAAAAAUAAGAUCCAAGGGUAGAAAAAUGAGUUUUUUUAUUUUAGAAAAUAAAGAAAAUGGGUCUAAAUGGGACUUUAAAAAAAAUACGACGAUUUCGACCCAAAAUAAAAGUCUAAAAAAAGGUUUUUAAGAAAAAUAGGAAGUCGCACUUGGUAUCGAGUUUAUGUGUACCAAAUCAACCAAAAAUAUAUUUUAAAUAAAAAUAAAUAAAACCCUUUUUAAACAACUCCAAACCUUUGAAAAAUAAGAGAAAAGGAUUCAGGAGUCACGAUUGAAGAAAAGGAAGGCAAAGAGUUGAUCUAAGAUACCCUUUCAACCUAACCAAAGUUAGUUGCGUGAUUUAGUCAAAAAUUUUCUUAAUCUAACCUAUAAAACUUAUUACUGGGGUGAGCAAAUUUGGUACAUACCGAAUUGAUAACCGAAUUCAAAUUCAAUUUAGUAAUUUGAAAUCGAUUAUUUGGUAAUUUGGUACAAAUUCUGUGAAGACCCAAGUUUUUACUUACUUUAAUUCUAUUUUACUGGCUUAUUUAAAUAUUUAAUCACCCGUUUUUUUCGAAUAAUUUAUUUCAACCAUUUUAAAUCAAGUUACACGAAACAAUGCCUCACUUAUAUUUUUAAAAUGUCCCGUUAACAAAUUUAAUUUUUCAGAGACUCAUUCGGUAAGGAAUAACGAGUACACAUUUUUCGAGGUAAAUUCGAUCCGAUAGUGCAUUAGUUUUGGAGAAUUAAGAAUGAAUAAUAAUAAAUUAAGAAAAGUUAAUUGAGGCAUUAGUGGUGAAUGAGUUUAAAAAUUUCACCUUAUCACGCGCGAAUCGAAAGUUCGCGUACAUCGAGCCGGAGCGAUUAAUUGAAGAUUUAAGAAAUUUAUUCUAGACUACUAAGAGUGAAUAAUUAUAGUGUUAAAGGAAGUACAUUAGAGGUUUAGCGCACAAUUGAAACAAACCAGAGAGAAAUCGGAAAUAAAACGCGCGCGCGACACUAUUAAGAGUUGACUUUUGUAGGAAUUAUAACCACAAAUCAUCUAAGCUUCUCCAAGAAGCUUCGUUCACCAGCCAACCCUUCUCUAUUUCACUUCAAAUGCCGGCUGGAACUCUUUAAGGAAGAGGAAGAAAAAGACUUCACCAUUCCACUCCAAUUCCACUCCAAAUCACCUUAAACUUUGCAUCCAACUUGCAAAUCACUUGGGAAUUCACUUGGACUAGGAAGAAAGCAUCAUUUCACGGUUUUUCUUGAGGUCUUGAAGGUACAAAAUUUCUGAUUUUAUCUCAAGAAUUAGGAGGUAAUCAUCUAAUCUUCUAAUCUUAGCUUCAAUGGGUUAUUCUUUGCUAGAAAACUUGUAGCUUCAUGGUUAUUGUUGUUGUUUGAAUUUAAAUGGUUGGAGUGGGUUUUAUGAAAUCCCACAAUGGAUAUAUGGACUGAUAUGGUGUUAAUGAGUGUUGUUUGUGUUAAUUAUGUGAUAAACAAGAUGGGAUUUGUUGGAAAAGUGAAAGGAAAAUCAAAGGAAAUUGCAUAGGAAGCUUAGCCGAAAUCUACCCUGUUUUCCUUGAAGCUUUGAUUUGAAUUUUUGUUGCUCAAAUGACCUUGGAACUGAUGUAGAUAUGUUGUAUAGGAUGUGUGGAAAGUUUCCACCAAAAAUCACUUGAUUUGGUUGAAUAAAAGUUAGAAUUUCGAAAUGGUAAAAAUCUGGAAAAAUGGUGUCCAGGUGUUCUGGAUAGAGUAAUUUUGAAUGAUUAUAACUCUGUACUCAAACGUUGAAAUCAAGUGCCGCUUGCCGAAUUUGAAACUAGACAUCCGUAGUUUUCUAACGGUGUAAAAUGCACCUUCUAAUUCGAAUUGAAUCAUCUGUAAUGACUGAUCAAAGUUGGCUAUCCUGCAUGACUGUUCAACGAGAAAAUUGUAGAAGCUGCAACUUGUGGCUCUAUUUUCUCUUAUUUACAAACAGAAUUUCAGAACGAAUUCUUCUGAUGAAAUGUAUCCUUUGAAUGUAGUUUCCGACGCCACCAACCAUGCUCAAUUCCAAGUUGAAUUGAGUGAGAUGUGGUCUAAUUACCAAACUAUAUCAAAUCUGGAAAACCCUAAGUUUGCUAGCCGAAUGGCCUAGCUUGACUUGGGACUUGUUGCUUUGCAAAUUUUGAUGUCAAUCAACUACCAAAUGUAUAUUGGAUGUUUCUCAGACUUUUGUUUCAUAAAUAAACCAAAUUUGAGUUGUUUUCAUUCGGCAAAAUAUUUGAAAAGAAAAAGGAAGCAAGAAGGCAGAUUAGCCUUGGGACAUUUCUUGAACUUUAGUUGUUUUAAUGACUGCCUUCCCGUAGGAGUUUUUGCAUGAAACUUGGUAGAAAUUUUUCAACCAUAGAAGACUUAGUGUACCAUGUUGGGAUGGAUAAGAAUUUAAAGAGGUCGAAGAAGAAGUUUGAAUUGUAAGCCGAAAGUUCAAAGUGGAAAUGCAAUUUAAAAUGAUGAUUUAAGGAAGUUGUUUCCUAAGCUCUGAUGUGACGAUGAUGAGGUAGCUAUCAACAAGGGAAUGUUUAGAAAACAGCUAAUCCAUUUGCUAAUUUGAAUACUUUCUUGAGUUUAUCAAGAAAAUUUUAUAUGUUGGUAAGUCUUAAUUGUAGGCUAAAAUUACAAGACAUAUGAUGGUGUACAAAAACAAUGUUAAUGAAGCUUUAAAAAAAUGACAUAUUGUCUUUGGAAGUUUGGUAAGAGCUAGCCGAAGAAGAAGAAUCAAAGAUGCAGCUGCUCAUUGAAGAAGAUGAAAUGCUUUCAGCUUUAUUCCCUAACAUUUUCUGAUUUUUUGUUUUAACCUUUAACUUAUAGUUCCUAUAUUGCCCUUAAUUUGGUGGUGAUUUUUGUGUCAAAAAGUAGUACCAACACAAAAGGAUGAAAUUGGCUACUAUAUUUAAGUUGAAGGACUAAAACAUCUAAAUAAAAAAUGAAGGAUGGAAUUGGUUUAAGAAAAAAAGUUUGAAAAUUAAAUUGACCAUUAUUCUUAUAGCUAUUUUUUUUGUUGCUAAGAGAACGAAAUUUAUAUAAAUAAUAUAAAAUCAAGAUUAGAGCUAAAACCUGAAAAUAAUUGAGUUAAUCUUCUUUCUUGUUGCUUUUUUAUUAUGCUGGAAAAGUUUGCCUGUCAUUCAUUUGUUGUGGGAAAGGUGAAAGGAAGUGUCAAAAUGAGUAUUAUGACAAUGAAAUGUAGUUAGUUGAUAAAAUACUUCACCUAUAAAUGAAAGGUCACAAGAGAAUCAUAAAGAAAAUAAAUAGAGAACCAUUAAUGAUCAUUUAAAAAAAAAAGAAAAGUCAUGAAAGUAUUGGUCCUUAAUCCAAUGUUGGACUUAUAUGUAAAUAAUUAUGUGUUGCAAACUGUCAAAUAAUGUUAAAUCUAAUUAAAAUGAUCAAUUAUAAUUUGAGUUUAAUGUAUCUAAUAGGGUGUGGGUCUUUAAUGUGUAGAGACUUAAGGAUAAUUUCUAUUUCUAUGAUGGGCUGAAAUAAGAAUUCAAAAGGUGACAGGAAUGUUAUCUAUAAAUAGGGUUAUGGUUCCCAACACACACACACACACACAUUCUUAUUAUCAUAUUUUCUAGUACCACAAAAUAGUUCUUUCUGGAUAUCCCAUCGUUAGGAAAGAUACGAGAGAGAAAUUAAAGGGCUCUCUCAAGGGAAUAGCAAAUACGUGUUGAUCUGGAAGACUGCCCUAAAAAAUCUCUAGGGAUUCAAAUACCAGUUUAUCAACAUGAAUCCAGACACGUUUCCGUAAUUUUGCUAUUAAUUUAUUUCUUAAUAAUCGCCAUAAGAUUUUGGGUUUAAUAGAUGAUGGUUUUCACCAAAAGUUAAUAUAAACAACCACCUAAUAAGUGGUAUCAGAACAGAAUAUAGUUGAUUAUUAAGAAAUAAUUUGGAUUUAGUAAUUCAUAGUUUUUUAAGUUUUUUAAUAAAGAACUAUGAUAAAUUAUGAUUUUUGUUUGCAUGGCCAAUAAGUUUUUUGUUCUAUGGUUCUGGUCUCGCUCACGAUACCAUGCUUGUACACAAUCUACUAUGUAAUGGAAAACAAAUCAUUAGAAGUCGGCACGUGUUUCCAACAUCAAGCUUUCUUGAUUGUUUAAUUUGAUUGUAUCACAUGAAUACAAAACUUGAACGGCACAAGUCAUGAUAUGACUUUCGUGUUCACUGACACAAAGUUAUUGUCGCGCCCCAUUUUUUGAAAAAUAAAAUUACGAAUUAUAAAAAUAAUUUUUUUAUUAAUUUUGAGUGAAAAUGGGUUUUUGAUUUUUCUUAUUAUUUUAUUUUAAAAAAUGAGUUUUUAUUAAUAGAUGAGUAAAAAUUGUGUUUUUUUAUUUUUAGAAAAUAAAUAAAGAAAAGGGCCUAAAAUGGGACUUAGAAAGUGCGACGAUUUUGGGCUCAAAAUAAUAGUUUAAAAAAGAUUUUUAAGAAAAAUAGGAGUCGCCAAUUCGUAUCUAGUUUAUGUGUACCAACUCACCUCAAAAUAAAUUUUAAAUAAAAAAUAGGUAAAACCUUUCUUAGACGACUCCAAGUCUUUGAAAACAAAAGAAAGGGUUCGGGAGUCACGGUUGAAAAAAUGGAAGGUAAAGAUAAAAUCUAAAGCAUCCUGUCAACCUAACCAAGGUUAGUUGCGAGAUAUAGUCAAAAAAUUUUCCUAAUAUAACCUAUGGACUUAUCACAUUGGGAUGUUUUUACAUGGAUGCAAAACCUAAACCUAGAAGGGUAUCGGGGUCGGAAUAUCUUUUCAAAGUUUAAUUGGUGUCAAUCGCAUUAAUUGUGAUGCCCAAGAGUAACUUUUUGAAGAGUUCACAAAUGUGUAAAAAUGACACCCAAAGAAAAGAAAAAAUUAUAAUAUAUAAAUAUACGUGACCUAAAAAAGAGGAAUGCAACAUAACGGGUGCAGGGGACUAAAAUUCGUGACUUGAUUUUCCUUAUUAUAGAGGGGAUACGAGCGUGCUAAGGGUAAAAAGUCAUAUUCGUCCAUUUUCCAUAUUUGAGGGGUAUUCUCCUAAUCUAAUCAAGUAAAUGAUCUAACAUAAUUUUCUUACAUGGAAUGCAAGUCUAAAUGUUAUGUUUCGCACAUAGAAAUAAGGGAUAUACAUAUAGAGGAAAUAUCAUGCAAAAUGAUAAGGAUCCUAAAAAAAUAGAAAAUAUGCAUGAAAUGUAAUGAUUGUUACACAAACAUGAUCUAGAGCGUGUACUCUAAGGAUCUAGCAUUAGAUUAGCCCAUAUACAUAAGUUCUCAUUAUCGUUGGACUAGCGAGAAAUAAAAAAAAGGGGGUCACAACUCACAACUAGCGUUGGACUAGUGUAGUGAUAUCAUGCAUUUAUUAUAACAUAAGAAAUCAUAUAAAUAUAAUUAAAACAAGUAAACAUGUAAGCACAUAGAGCACAUAACACGUAAGCAUAAUAUCUUGAUACGAAGAUUCUAAGAAAACGAGUAAACGCACAAACAUGCAAGCACGAAAACAAAUAAACACACAUCAGAAUUUAAUUAUUAUAUUGGAGCCCUAACUACAAUCUAAAAUGGGGAAUUAAAAAUAAUAACCUAACUAUUACAUUUAUCUAACUAAUUACAUUUUUACCAAAAUUAAAACCUAUCUAUUACAUAGUCUAGGUAAAUACAUGUCUUGAACACCUUUCUAUUAUAAUUUGGCAUUUAAACGCCUCUCAAAUAAUCAUCAAAAUUAAAUAUAUGAAACUUGAAAUAAAUAAAACGAGUAGUUAAAUAAAAUAAAACACUCAAGAUAUGCAAUUACACACAAAACACAUAGGAGCACAUAAAAGAUUUUUAAAUAAUAAAGAAGAUACCUCCUUGAAGUAGUAGCUAAUUGGGGUUGGAUUUACCCUAUUUAUGCUCCAAAAUUAACAAAAUAGUCAAGGUACCAAUUUAAUUAACAAAUAAAAGAAACAACAUGUAAAGAAAUGGAAAUAAUCAUGAAAUCUAUCAAUUAAAACAUUUAAAUGAAGCAUAGUUAAUAAUUAAAGAAGAUAAAUAAUCUAUAUUCAAGAAAUUAAAACAAGUAGGGACUUAAUUGCAAAAAUUAUAAAAGUUUUAGAGGUCAAAGUUAAAUAAAAUAAAGUUUAGAGACAAAAUUGAAAUUCAAAUAAGGAUCUAAUUGAAAGAAAACCAAAGUUUUACGGCCCCAAUAUAAUUACUUAACAAUCAAGGGACUGCAAUAAAAUUUCUCUAGGCCAAGAUUGCUUCGGCCCACUAGAAAAUCCAUAGAGAACGGACGGGCUAAUCCAUCUGCUGAUCCAACCAAAACAUCUAGGCAUUCCCUCCCAAGCCCAACAGAAAGAUUAAAGAAACAAGCAGGCCAGCCCAUCAUUUGACCAAGUAAAAAUCCAACUAAAAUAUAUGGGCUUUAGCUUCCAAAGCCGAGGCAAACCCAAUAAAAAAAACCUAACCCAAUUCCAAAUAACCCAAACAAAUAACCAAAUCCAAUUCCUCUUUAUUUUACCAAAGCCCAACAAACUAAUAGCGUGAACUAAAAAAAUGUUAAGGUCUAAUUUCAUCCCAAAAUCCAGAAUUAAUUAACCAAAAAGCACACUUAAAACAUAGAAAGAAGAUUAAAGCUUAAAAAGAGGUAAAAAUGAUUUAUUUGUGAAAGUUUCUGGUCACAAUAGAAUAUAUAAAAAUUUAUGAGUUAAAGUGCAAUUUUCAGAAAUUUGCUGUAAGCUUCGAAGACAGCAUUUGUUGCUUCUGCAAUUGAAAGCUUAUUCAAUGCAGAAAUCUCAAGAAAACACAAACUAAAGCCCGCGAACCAUCAACCAAAUGUUAUGGCCUGGAAGCAGUCCAAAUUGUCAUGACUGGGGUGAGUCAGCAGUACCAGAAAUGCGAUAGCAUGAAGGGAGUCACGUGGUAGCAAUUGGUAUAACAGAAUGAAGAGUAGUUAUUUGGCGGGAAAAGUAGUUAGUUACUAGCAGGCUGUUUCUUGCUUAGAUUUGUAUAAGUAAUUCAUCUGCAAUGGCAGAGGGAGCAUGUAAUACGUUGUUUCCAAUCUCUUCCUAAAUCAAUUCAAAUCUUUCCUUUCCCUCUCUAUUCCCUCCCCCCUAUUUCUGAUCUCACUCUCAAUCUCUUCCUUCUUCUUCCCUCUCCUACCUCAGAUACCUCUCUAUUCAUUUAGCUCGAUCCUUACAGUGGUAUCAGAGCUUGCGAUCCUUGGAUUGCAAGCUUCGAACUGCUAAAGAUUAUGGCAGAAGGUACUAGAAUGAAGGGCUUCGAAGAGCAACUCAGGAAACAAGAGGCCAGGAUCCAAGCGGUCAUUGAUUCCUUGGUUGCUGACAAACAGGCUAUGGAGGAACGGUUGGAAGGUAAUCAAAGAGAGAUGCGAGCUCUGAUGGAAACCAAUAGCACAGAGCUGAAAAGCUUCAUGAGUACUCAACUCAGUUCCAUUUUGAGAAGUCUGCAAGGUGAUAGGGGCAUUUUGGGGAAUCCUACAAGCUUAGCAGAGAGAACUCCUAAUAAUCGAAGUGUUGGAGCACAAGGUGUUCGACAAGGUGAAUUUGGUCAUUCAACCAGAGGAGAUGUCAGCAUUGGCCAAUGGGGGUUCCCAGGUUAGAUUUUCCCAGGUUUGAAGGCCACAGACCCAAGGAAUGGAUCAGGAAGUGUGAAAAAUUUUUCCACCUGUUCCACACUCCUGAGGAUCAGCAGAUGGACCUGGUGGAAUUACACUUAGAAGGCAAGGCAGAUCUCUGGUAUCAAAAUUUUAAAAAAGACAGAGGAGUGGUCCAAUGGAAGGAUUUCAGUUUGGAAGUAUGUAGAAGGUUGCAGCACUGUGGGGGAAGCAGAUGCGGUGGAGGAGUUCAGCAAACUUAGCCAAUCAUCCACUGUUUUGGCUUAUCAGGAGAAGUUUGAAGAGCUGAGGUCCAUUGUAAUGAUCCAGGUGCCAGAACUAACUGAAUCUUACUACAUUGCUAGUUUCCUGAGUGGAUUGAGGGGAAAUUAAGUCUGCUGUGAAGAUGCAUAGGCCAGACACUCUGGCAGGCUGCCUUUGAGAUGGCCAGAUGGCAGGAGCACAUUUGGAGCUUGUUCACAAGUUCAGCAGGACCACAAUCAGGAGCACAUCACACUCAGGCUCCUAUGGUCUCUCCAAAGGAACGCAAGGGAUCCAGGAUCCAGGGGCAAGGCAGGUUAGUACUCCGCACCUACGGACUACAGCAGGAGGUCCAAUUCACAGAGGCAAGAAUUUAGGAAGAUUUCUCCUACUGAAUUCCAAUACAGGAAGGAGCACAACUUGUGCUUUAGGUGUGGAGACAAAUUUACUCCGCGGACACUCUUGUAAGAGCAAGGGGAUCCACAUGAUGUUAAUAGAAGAUGAGGAAAAAUGUGGGGCAGAUCAAACAACAGAAGAAGAGGAAAUUAUUGAGUACAUGGGAAACCAGCAGGAGCAGGAUGUGAUGUUGACCCUGCAUGCAAUGACAGGGAAUUAUCUUCUAGUGUCAUCAAAAAUGCAGGGGCAGUACAAGGAUCGUCAGCUGACAAUCCUACUGGAUGGAGGGAGUACGCAAUUGUUUUAUCAAGAGGUCAGUGGCUCAGUUGUACGCCAGAAACUGUGCAGGAGCAUAGGCCUUUUAAGGUCAAGAUUGCUGAUGGCAAAGAGUUGCAUUGUGACCAGUGGAUUCCAGGAAUGCAGUGGGACAUGCAGGGUCAUAUAUUUACACAUGAUGUAUUUGUCAUGGACGCUGGAGCCUUAUGACCUGAUCCUUGGAGUUGAUUGGAUGAAGUCCUACAGUCCCAUUACCUUUGAUUUCAAGAAGUUGAAACUGUCUUUUGAAAAAGGAGGGAGCAAGUGGUGCUAAAAGGAGACUCCAACAAUGCAAACGUGAGAUGCAGCAAGGUGCCUCUGCUCACAAAUAUGUCAGACAUAGAUCAGGAAGGCAUUGCAGCAAUCGUGUAUGGUGAAGAUUCACAACUCACAGGUAAUUUCUGAACCAGAUUCUCUUACUAAGUUGUUGGCCAAGUAUGAUGAUGUCUUUGCAGAACCAAACACCCUUCCCCCAAAUAGAUGCCAUGAUCACCAAAUUCCCCUCAAACCAGAUGCCCACAACCUUUCAAAAUUCCUCCCUACAGAUACCCAUGUACAAAAAAAUGAGAUUGACAGACAGGUGAAAGAUAUGUUGAACUCUGGCCUUAUACAAGAUAGCCAUAGCCCCUUUGCAUCACCUGCUCUUCUAGUAAAGAAGAAAGAUGGGAGCUGGAGGCUUUGUAUUGACUAUAGGCAACUGAACAACCUCACUAUUAAAGAUAAAUUCCCUAUACCUAUUAUAGAUGAUUUACUGGAUGAACUACAUGGAGCCAAGGUCUUUUCUAAAAUUGAUCUGAGAUCAGGCUACCACCAAAUUAGAAUGAAACCUGAUGACAUCCAUAAAACUGCCUUUAGGACUCAUUCUGGUCUAUAUGAGUUCUUUGUCAUGCCAUUUGGUCUAACAAACGCCCCAGCCACCUUCCAAGCACUAAUGAACUCUGUCUUUGAACCAUAUAUCAGAAAUUUGUUCUUGUGUUCUUGAUGACAUUUUAAUCUAUAGUCCAGACUACAAGAGUCACCUACACCAUUUAUCCAUAGUUUUGGGAACCCUGAGACAACACUCCUUGUUUGCAAAGAUAUCUAAGUGCUCUUUUGGUCAAGACCAAGUGGAGUAUCUGGGACACAUAAUUACUAGUGCAGGGGUGAAAACUGAUCCAUCCAAGGUGGAGGCUAUGCUGUCCUGGCCAACGCCCUCCUGUGUAAAGGCUCUCAGAGGAUUCUUGGGCUUGACAGGGUACUAUAGGAGGUUUGUUAAGGGGUAUGGGGAGAUUGCUAAGCCUCUUACUGAAUUGCUAAAAAGGGAUCAAUUUGCAUGUGAGUACUGCUGCAGGCACUGCAUUCCAACAAUUGAAGUUGGCAAUGAGUGAAGCAGCCAGUGUUGGCAUUACCUGACUUCUCAAAGCCAUUUCUGUUGGAAACUGAUGCCAGUCAGAUGGCCAUUGGUGCUGUUCUAAUGCAACAGGGGAGGCCAAUAGCUUAUUACAGCCAAGUAUUGGGACAAACUAACCAGGCCAGGUCUACCUAUGAGAAGGAGCUCCUAUCACUCAUCACUGCGGUUCACAAAUGGAAACAUUACUUGAUGGGACACCACUUCAUUAUCAAAACUGAUCAUGAGAGUCUCAAAUACUUACUGGAUCAGAAAAUUAACACUUCUCUUCAACAAAAGUGGCUGGUUAAACUUAUGGGGAUGGAUUAUGAGAUUCAAUACAAAAAAGGGAAGGAUAAUAUAGUUGCUGAUGCCUUGUCAAGGAGGGGAGAUUUGGAGAACACAACAGAUCCGUCUGUGCAUACUAUCACUACCAUCAAGCCUCAGUGGUUGACCAGGGUAGCUGAGAGCUAUAAUGGUGAUGCGAUGGCCAAGGAGGUGCUGCUGAAGUUGGCUAUGGGAGCUGAUGCAUUACCAGAUUACUCUUAUAACCAGGGGAUUCUAAGAUUCAAAGGAAGGGUGUGGGUAGGAGCAGAUUCUGGAUUAAGACAAAGGCUGGUCUCCUGUUUUCAUGAUUCUAGUUUUGGGGGACACUCUGGAAAUCAUGGUACUUAUCAAAGGAUCAAAAGCUACCUAUACUGGCCUGGAUUAAAAAAGAGGUUGAACAAUAUGUACAGAAUUGUGAUGUCUGCAAGAGAAGUAAAAAUGAGAAUUGUGCUUAUCCAGGACUGCUGCAGCCAUUGGCCAUUCCAGAGCAAGCUUGGCAACAAAUUUCCAUGGAUUUCAUAGAAGGUUUGCCUAAAUCUUUUGGUUGUAAUGUGAUCUACGUGGUGGUGGACAGGUUCACUAAGUACGCCCCAUUUCAUUCCAAUGACUUCUCAUUAUACUGCUAAGAGUGUGGCAGAGGCAUUCUUUGAUCAAAUUUUUAGGUUGCAUGGCCUACCAACACAUAUUGUCUCUGAUAGAGACAAGGCUUUCACUAGCUUGUUCUGGCAAGAACUCUUCAAAAUGCUGGGCACAGAAUUAAAUCUAUCUUCUGCAUAUCACCCUCAAUCUGAUGGGCAAACUGAGAGGGUGAAUAGGUGUGUGGAAAACUACCUGAGAAGUAUGUGUAUGUAUCAACCAAGUAAAUGGAGGAAAUGGCUACCUGCAGCAGAAUGGUGGUACAACACUAACCAUCAUAAUAGCUUACAAAUGUCUCCCUUUCAGGCUUUGUAUGGCUACAAGCCUACUCAGAUGAACCUGAGGCCUGAUAGCACGUUAGUAGCUGCUGUGGAGGACUGGGCACAAGAACGAGUGGGCUGGAACUCCUUGCUCAAGGAAAAUCUGUUAAAGGCUCAGAACAGGAUGAAACAAUUGGCAGAUAAAGGGAGGAGUGAUAGGGAAUUUGAAGUAGGGGAAUGGGCUUAUUUGAAACUUCAGCCUUACAGACAAACUUCAGUAGCUGUAAGGAGGAACAUAAAACUGGCGGCUAAGUACUAUGGGCCUUACCAGGUGGAGCAAAAGAUGGGGACUGUAGCUUAUAGGUUGAAGUUACCAGCAGAUCAGCCAUACAUCCUGUUUUCCAUGUCUCCUUACUCAAGAAGUCACCUAAGGGGGCUCAACUCAGCACUGCCUUGCCUACCCUGAAUGAUGAUGGGGAGUUUGGUGUUGCCCCCUCAGCAGUUCUAGACCAGAGGACAAUCCUUAGAAAGGGACAAGAGGUCAAACAGGUGUUGGUGCAGUGGGAGAACAUGGAAACUGAGGAAGCCACUUGGGAGGAUUGGGCAUUCAUUCAUGCUCAAUUUCCUUCUUUCCAAAUCAGUCAAUCCUAGAGACUAGGAUUGUUUUUUUAGGGGAGGUAUUGUUAUGGCCUGGAAGCAGUCCAAAUUGUCAUGACUGGGGUGAGUCAGCAGUACCAGAAAUGCGAUAGCAUGAAGGGAGUCACGUGGUAGCAAUUGGUAUAACAGAAUGAAGAGUAGUUAUUUGGCGGGAAAAGUAGUUAGUUACUAGCAGGCUGUUUCUUGCUUAGAUUUGUAUAAGUAAUUCAUCUGCAAUGGCAGAGGGGGCAUGUAAUAGUUUGUUUCCAAUCUCUUCCUAAAUCAAUUCAAAUCUUUCCUUUCCCUCUCUAUUCCCUCCCCCCUAUUUCUGAUCUCACUCUCAAUCUCUUCCUUCUUCUUCCCUCUCCUACCUCAGAUACCUCUCUAUUCAUUUAGCUCGAUCCUUACACCAAAACCCUUAACAAUUUCAACACUCUUUGAUUAACACAACCCAAACAUGAACACCUAGCCAUUGAAGAUCAAAUAGAGAAAAUCAGACGAAAAAUGCAAGAAAGGGAGAACGAAGUUGGCUUUUGAUGAAACAAACUGUAGAACUUAUCAAGAUCUGAGAAUCCAACCACAUCACCCAAACAUCAAACAUCAAGCCAUCUCCAAAACUCUUUUAAAUACCUCAAAAAAAUGUAAUAGAUAGGAGAAUUAGAUUUAUUUUUAUUAUAUUUUCCCAUUUUAGAUUGUAAUUAGGUCCCCUAUUGUAAUAGAUAGGAUAGACAGGAUUUUUUAUUUUCCCAUUUCAAAUUGUAGUUAGAUUCCCCACUGUAAUAGAUAGGUUUUUGCGUGUUUAUGUGGCUUAUGUGUUAUGUGCUUUAUCCGUUUUUCUUAAAAUUUUUGCAUCUAGAUAAUAUGUUUGUGUGUUAUGUGCUACGUGCUCUUACAUGUUUAUUUGUUUUAAUUUAUGAUUUAUUUGUCUUACUAUUUAUUAAGAAUACAUGACGUUACCACACUAGUCCAACGUUCGUUGUGGCUUCUCCCUCCGCUUACUUGCUAGUCCAACACUAGUAAGGAUUUUUAGAAAUAGGUUAGUUCAAUGCUAAACCCUUAGAUUGUUCGUGCAUUAGAUUCAUUUUUGUGUGACAUUUAUUACAUUUUCAUGCAUAUUUUUAUUUUAGAAUCUUUUAUCAUUUGCAUGAUACUUCCUAUUAUAUUAUUCUCUACCCUCUAUUUGUGUUAAUCAUAUCAUUUAGGAUUGCACCUCAUUUAAGAAAUUGUGAAAUAAGUUAGUUCAUUUGCUUGUUCAUAUUAGGAGAAUUAUUCUUCAAACAUGGGAAAUGGGUGAUUAUAACUUUUAGUUUAAAUACCCCAUUAAUCCCUGUAUAAGAAAAUUAUGUCACGAGUUUUUGCCUUCCAUACCCACUAUAUUUCAUUCCCUAUUCUUUGGCCACUUAUGCCUAUAUAUAUAUUUUCACUUUCUUUUCUUUUAAUUUCAUCAUUCGCAUACUCGUGACCCCUUAUUUUUUAUCAAGAAAAAAAGGGCUGGACAAUAUAGACUAGACCAAAAGAUUACCCACUAAAACAAUGCAAAAGGCAAUUUCAAGACACUUAUAUGCUACAGGCUACUCAACAAAGCUUAUCAUAACUAUUCAACAAUACCCGCAUAUUUAUUCCUCAUCCGGCAACUAAAAACACUCAAAAAGAACAAAUUCUGCCUCUUCAGCUUAGAACCCUCCACAAAUCUUUCGAAUGGGACUACUAUCAGAUGCAUGAAACCACAUUAUUAAGCCCAUAAAAAGAAAAAAAUAAAGGAAAAAGUCAUCUCAAAAUCGAAUUGAUUGUAUCGGACCACAGGGAAAGAGGUCCGUAUAAAAACGGGUGGGUCUUGAAAUCCAUAAUAAUCACCAUAACCUAACUGUACCCCUAUUCGUCUAUUCCUAUUUAUCAGCGUUAACUGUAAUCUCGCCUCGCCACAAUUCAAUUACUUCCAGUUUCAAGUUCGAAAAACUGUACCAGCGUCAUGGCUUUAAGAUCAGACUAUCAUUUCUUCUUGCCUCCGGACAACACCAUUAUUAACAAAUUUCUACACCGGAAGAUUCUUGAACUCGAUCUCCCUCCUUAUCUUGAGAUCAGGGAGAACGUAUUAGUAUGCAGCCUUCAUCCCCAAAUGGAGAAGGUGGCUUCUAGGAAAAAAAUACAGCAAAAAAGAAUAAUAAGAGAAAACAAAAGCAUAUUAAUAUUAUAAAUUUGGGGAAAACAAAGAAAAGCCCUAAACUAAAAUCCCAAACCUUAAGCCAGAAAUGAUGCUGUCCAUAUGCUCCAGAGGAUUCCAACACCAGUUUUUCGAAUCUCCAUCUCCUUCUUUUAAUUCAAUUGUUUAUUCUCUCCCACUUGUGGCUUUGAAACUAAGAGCAAGGAAGCUGCAAACUUACAAUAAAAUAAACAAAGAGCAAAGAGGCAUAAAAAUACUAAAUAUUUUGGCAUUAUAAUUUUGGAAAGGAAAGCCAGGAGAGGAGAAGUGGCGGAGAGGAUUUAUGUUUUAUGAAGCUAACCCUAUGGAGAGAAGCCAGAAGUGGAGGCAAGAAAAGAACAAGGGAAACAGACAACACCAGUGCAUCGUGCAAAGAGGAAAAAUCAUGAGGAGAUCACAUGUUCGACGAUGAAAAAGCAUAACAUCCUUCGCUCUUUUACUUCUUUUAUCAUGGUGGAGAACCUUUUAUCAUGGAAUCUGCCAGCCACAUAGGUCUAAAUACAAUUUUUGCAUAUAAACGUAUUGCUAAUUGUUUAACCAUACACAUGACUAAUAAGUAAGGUAUUAUUUGAUGUUUAUUCCUUAUUGAAGCAGACAAAUGCUUUGUUAAGGUUAGUGAAGAUGAUGUUGGAAGCUAUGUAAUCUGCAUGGAAGAGAUACAUGAAGGACAAUUGAUGAGUUUUCCAUGUUCGCUUGUUUUCCAUGAAGACUGUGCACUGAAAUGGCUGGUGGAGAAAUUCUUUUGUCCUUUGUUCAAGUUUGAAUUGCCACAUGCUUAGUGGAUGUUGUUGGUUCCGAAAUGUAUUUGCUAGUAGGACUCGUACAACUCUGGUAGAUUCUUAUGUAACUAUGACUUCAGAUUAUAAAUAGACAGUCAACGAAUACAUCCCCUUCAUAUUCGGUUGGAGAAAGAUAGAUGAGAAAUCGUUUGGUUAAACUACUUUGGCAAUGGUGAAUUUCUGCUUUGGUUAAACAUGUUUGAAUAUAGCCUAGUGGCCAAGAAAAUUUGUUUCGUAUAUGGAAAUUUAGGUUGCACAAUCUCUAUCACCUACCAUUUCUUUUUUCUUCUGUUUUAAAGCAUAAAGACUUAAAAAAAAAAUCUGAGACACUCCUAGAUGAAAUGCUUUUCAGAUACAUUUGAAAUCUAAAUAACUAAAAAUGCACAUGGUAAAGUAAUCCAUGCUAAUUGUUAAGUUCCUACGGGAUAUUGGUUAAGAGAUUCCUCCAUAAGAAGGUAUGCAAUCAUAUUUGGUUAAUCAGAUGCUAGAAUUUGAUAGAUUUCUUGCUCUAUCCAGAGAAACGCCACUAAACUGAUCACCAAAGCACCUUCUUGGCCUAUCAAUUUCUAAUGAAUUCUUUAAACUAUGAAUUCGACUUUUCAUAUUUUAAUUGUGCUAAUAAUUUUAAGUAUUUCUUCAAUCGUAAAAAAACUCAAAUGACCAAAUGAAGAAAGUAAACCAUUUAAAUAACGCUGUUUGCAUGCUUGGUGUGCAACUAAUCAGAGGCAAUACUAUGAUAGUGAAAUGACUACAAACAAUCAAAUAUCUUUCAUUAGAUUAACUAUUCAUGAAUAAAUAUUUGUAUACAUAUCGACAUAUGAGACAAUCAAAUUAGGAAGGCUUUUCCUAAUAGCAUAAAAGAAUAACCAAUUAAAAUAGUAGAUAAUCUAUAGAACUUCCAGCUUUAGUCUCUCUUUUUGUAAUAGACAUAUCAUUUUUUCAUUAGAUAUCCACUAAUGAUAAAAAUUAUAUCAAGCAUACAUAGAUACAAACAAAUUUGAAAACAAAUAGUAGUACUACAGAUCUAAAAAAUGAAUAAAAUAUUAUACUAUGAAGUUCAAAAAAGCAUAUACCAUCUGUAUAUGCUUCCGAGUUUCAACUGCACUAAUUGCAUUGCCUCAUAUUUGCUAAUGAACAGAUUCAAACCUAGUUAUUAAGAGUGUUCUUCCUAUACCUACUCACCAUGGAUGGAGUAGCCCCUUAAAAGAAAGAGAAAAGAAGAAAAAAAAGAAAAAAUUUUGCUCUUCCUAUCUUCAUUUUUUUACUUAUAUAAUAUAGAGUCUAGAUGCACGGACACCAAUUGCUAAAGGUUGUAUUCAAUACUCGUUUUUUGUGUUUUUUUUUGUGUUUUGGGGGGGGGGGGAGAACUCAUCAGGAUACCAUUAUAUUUUAAUGGUAACAUUCUUUGAGACAAAAAUGCGAUUAACUGUUUCUGAUAUUCACUCCAUCAACAAUUAAGCCUUGAGUGUCCUCCUACGAAAAUGAAAAUCAUUUUCUUAAGUAAAAUAUGAUAAAGGAUAAAAUGUUCUUAACAUAUUGUUGCAAAGAAAAAAUUAAAAAAAAAAAAACUCCAAUCACGAAACUCAAUAAUUUUAAAGCACAACUGACAUUUUGAACUUAGUCGCGACAGCCAAUUGAAGUGAAUUGAUCAAUGGAUGCAUAGGUAUUAGAACGUGGAAAGAAGCUCCUGUCUGAGCUCUCAAUGAGAAAUGUGACUCAAUUUCAAUAAAAUCGAUGUUAACAGUUUUUACAGCAGUGUACAUGCAUGUAGACACAUGGCAACAUCAAUACAAUUUGAUCCACAGAAUUUAGUUUAUGUGCAUCUUUUGUGAAAUUGGAAUAAUGUAUAUAUAUUUUCUUAUAUGAUUUAACAAACCAAAGUUAUCAAAGUAAAAGAAAGAAGAGAAGUUGCUUCCUGAGUCCUGCGGCCUCUAUUUCUCAGUAGUUGUUUAUGCCACCAAAGAGUCGGAGAGCCACUCAACCCACAGGCCGUAUCUUUCCUAAUAGUAAUACUUUCCUGUAAGUUCGAUUCGAGGCUGUGAAUACCAGUUUUAAUUGCCAACUUCUUUUGAAUUGAUAGCAAAUUUUCUCUUUUCUAUUGCAUGUGUUGUUCAGAGUCUUCUCGAUUGCGUGCAUUCUCUGUCUAAUCUAGAGCAAAUAUUGACAAAAUCUGUUUGUUUGCUCUAGUGAGUAUACAAUUACGAUGCAUUGAAUUACUAUUAUCUGUUUGAAGAAAUUUUAAUCUACUGAUUAAUUCAUUACACAUCCACUUCCCUGUCUGCUUUAUUAUGUGUAUAUAUAUCUGGGGAUCUUUAGCUCAAGAAUUUUUUUCCCCAAACGAAGAUGUCACAUCUCGCUGGUGGAGCAGAGGCUCUUGCCUGUUCCCAACAGCACAAGUCAUUCACGCGUGGCACCCAUGAUGAGAUACAUCUAUCUGACCAGGGCGGAUGAGAAUGGGGGAGAUGGGCCACAAGUCUAGCCGAAAGAGAUGCCGAUGAUGGCUGGGUAACAGGGGAGCGUCAGAUAAUUGAUCUUGACAGCCUUGCAUUUCAUCAGGGAGGUCUCUUGAUGGCAAAUAAGAAGUGCAAGCUUCCAUUAGGUUCUUUCAGGAAUCGGAAGAAGGGAUAUGAUGAAAUAUAUGUACCAAGCCUUGACGCCAAAACCAUUGGCUCCCGGUGAAGAACUUGUUAAGAUCUCUUCCAUGCCUAACAGGGCACAGCCUGCUUUCAAGGGAAUGGCUGAAUUAAACAGGAUUCAAAGUAAGGUUUAUGAGACUGCCCUUUUUAGUGCACAUAAUAUUCUAUUAUGUGCGCCCACUGGUGCAGGGAAGGCUGAUGUUGCUAUGCUAACCAUCCUUCAGCAGAUUGCUUUGAAUAGAAAUGACAAUGAGUCUUCUGACAACAAAAAUUGCAAGAUUGUCUAUGUGGCUCCUAUGCAGGAAAUGGUUGCUGAAGUAGUAGGUUACCUCUCUAAUCGUCUCCAGGACUAUGAUGUCGAGGUGAAAGAGCUGAGCGGGGACAAGACACUGACAAGUCAACAGAUCAAAGAGACUCAGAUUAUUGUUGCAACCCCAGAGAAAUGGGAUAUGAUAACUAGGAAGUCUGGGGAUCGCACCUAUCCUCAGCAGGUCAAAUUGGUUAUCAUUGAUGAGAUACAUCUUUUGCAUGAUGACCGAGGACCCUUUCUGGAGAGCAUUGUCGCAAGAAUUGUUAGGCAAAUUGUGACCACUAAAGGGCACAUACGGCUGGUUGGUCUAUCAGCUACAUUUCCAAAUUAUGAAGAUGUAGCUUUGUUCUUGCAGGUUGAUUUGAAUAAAGGUCUGUUUUACUUUGACAAUAGCUAUAGACCUGUUCCGCUAGUUCAAUGGCAUGUUGGAAUCUCGUUAGAAAAUCCUCUGUAGAGAUUUCAGUUGAUGGAUGAUGUGUGCUAUGAGAAAGUAAUCAGUGUUGCUGGAAAGCAUCAGGUUCUUAAUUUUGUGCACUCUGGGACAGAAACUGCCAAGACAGCCCAUGCACUACGUGAUGGUGCACUUGCUAAUGAUACUCUUGGUAAAUUCUUAAAAGAGGAUAGUGUAAGCCGUGAAAUUCUACAGAGUCACACAGAGCUUGUAGAGAGCAAUGAUCUCAAGGAAUUGCUAUCCUAUGGUUUUGCAAUUCAUCAUGCUGAGAUGGUCACAGCUGAUCGUCGAAUUGUUGAGGAUCUGUUUUCUGAUGGGCAGAUACAGGUGUUGGUUUCCACAGCAACUCUUGCUUGGGGUGUCAAUUUACCAACUCAUACUGUGAUUAUUAAAGGUACCCAGAGAUACAAUCCUGAAAAGGGAGCAUGGACUGAACUAAGUCAUGUUGAUGUAAUGCAGAUGCUUGGCCAUGCCGGAAGCCUCAACAUGACAGUUAUGGUGAAGGAGUUAUCAUUACUGGACAUAGUGAUCUUCCAUAUUAUCUGUCUGUGAUGAAUCAGCAGCUUCCCAUUGAAAGCCACUUUGUAUCGAAAUUGGCUGAUCGGUUGAAUGCUGAAAUAGUCCUUGGAAGCGUUCACAAUGCAAAAGAAGCUUGCAUUUGGCUUGGUUAUACUUAUAUUUUUAUACGCAUGCUUCAGAAUCCUACACUUUAUGGUUUAGCUGCUGAUGUUUUAGCUGUAGAUAAUCUGUUGGCGAAAAGGAGAGCUGAUUUGGUAAAAUUUCUGCACAUGCCUCGUAUAUUUUGUUCAACUGAUUUCGUGCAUUUCAUAGUAGCACCCUCCCCCCGACCUCCCUCUCUCUUUUCUCUUCCCUUUUUGGUUGAUCUGCUUUACAUAACUCUAGAUUCUGUUAGAGCCUGCCUUGAAAUGUAUCAUUGUUGUUAUUUGGCAGUUUGUAGCAUCCAGUAGUCAAACUCAGUAUACAUUUGAACUGCCUUGUAUAUUUACCUAUUGUUGAUUGCCUCGUGCAUAUCUGCUUUCCUGACUUUGUUCUCAUGGCGCAGGUUCAUUCAGCAGCGACAUUAUUGGAAAAGAAUGACUUGAUAAAAUAUGACAGAACAAGUGGACAUUUUCAGGUAACUGACUUGGGACGCAUUGCAGCUCUUACUGUAUAAUUCUCUGGACAGUUUCUGCAUGCAAUGAACACUUGGAAAAGGUACUAUGACCUCUCUUAACAGGUGAGAGGAGAACUGAUCAGUUAUCCCCAAGAAGGGCAGAACUCUCCGCGAGUUCUUCAUACAUCAGUUUCCAUAGCUUAGCUUAGUUGCUCAUCAUGUACAUUGUUGCUAUUAGCACGUACAACUCUUGGGUAAUAAAUGUUUUCAUUCGAGUGUUUGAUGUAUUCGGAAAAUCUCUACAGAAAGAAAAGAAAAAAAAAGAAGAAACAAACUGAAAAUAUAAUCAUUUAUUCAACUAUGUACUUUUACAAAAUUUACAAGAAUUCAAACAAAGAGAAUUUGGUCAUCAACUAUUGACCUACACAAGGGAUACAAAUUAAUCGUUUGCAACCACCUUGAAAUCCAAUCUGUAUGGGAAGUAUGCAAGCAAUGCAAUCGAUUUGCUUUCGAUCCCAUCUGGGCAGAUACAACAAGAACUUAAUGAACUCAAAUAAUUGAGCAUUACCACCUCCAAUGUUUGAAUAUAUGACUUAGCUGCUCCCCUAGAUGGAAGAGCUAUUUCGUAAAUCAAUUCAUCUUCUGCCCUUGGUCUUCUAAUAGCUUUUUGAUAUCUGCUCGCGUAAUUGGGAUCAUUUCUUUUCUUAUAGUUAUAAAAAGAAUUCCAUUCCUUGAGUUGAUCAUCCCCAUCCGGUAGUGUAACCAUCUUUUCCAUCUCUAACUUAAAAAGGCAACUUGUUCUUGCCUAAAUUAUGCUCUUGAACCUUCAUGCACAGAAGAAAUAACCAGGUAUUUUCAAGCAAAUCUAAGUCGUCAGUUAGCUUGUCAUCUCUUGUUGCCUCAUUUAAAUGCCUUUCCCUCCAACUUCCUCCAUCAAACUCAGGAGGGAUUUUCAUGUCAUACAACAUAAGAUGAUAUGGUCUCCCCCCACCCGGACAUUGUGAUUACUUCAUGACAAGUUAUGGUGAAAUAUUUCUCCACAUUGACACUAGUAUUGUCUGAGAAGAAAAUAACAGAAAGUUUGAUUUGGAUUGCAAAGUGAGGAAAUUCAAGUGUUUGAUCAUCACGUUCAGCCUGCCCCGGUUGUGAUGCUUUCACGGCUAUAACGUACUGAUUGUGAGCAUUCAGUGGUGGCAGCCACAUUGGUGACUCCAUUUUUUUCUCGACCUAGAUUAAUUUGCCAGUGAAAAACAAUCUCAGAAAGGUGAUGAACAACAAUUAGGGAAAAAAAGAAUGCUAGUAUGAAAAUUUACUGGCGGCUCACUGAAAUUAUAUAUGCAAAAGGAGUGUCGUUUUUACAAUAAUGUGUUCUAUAACAUGGACGACUUUAUUAAAUUCAUCCGCUGUUUUUGAUUUUUUUUUGAUAAAACACGAUUUUUUAUUAAUUAGGAAACUUAAUACUUACAUAUCCACUCUUGGAUGGAGUGUCCUUUCUUCUAUAUGUGUAAGCAUAUUAAUGUUCUUUAUUUUGUUUUUACAUAAAUUAUAAAUUUGCAUAGACUUGGUUCAAAUAUCUCAUAAAGAGGUUUUUGACCUCCAAUGCACGAGAAGAUAUUAAGUUCUGUAGAACAUGACGACAUUUUUUCAGAAACUUUGAAUACAAUGGUACGCAUUUAGUUGUUUAAAUAUAUUCAUGUACAUAGUAUUAAAACUGAUUUCCUAGUUUAUCAUGCGAUAAUUUAAAAUCUGCCUCAUCUAUUAAACGUCUACAGUUACACCUCCACUAUAGAGUAGUCAAUUAAUCAUCAUCUUGAUGCAUUCAUAUGGUCUUUAUGAUACUUCAGUUACUGAAUUCAAUUAAUCCUCUUUGCACAAGUUUAAAUUCCAAAUUCAUCCAACUACCUCUUUGUCUUAAAAACAAAUUUAACGGAUGGUUAAAAGGGUAAAACUGUCACUACUGCUACAUAAGCUUAAUUUGAAAAUGUAAUCAUCAUGCCACCAAGGGUACGCUUAUCAACUCACAUAGCAAUAAGCAUAGUAUGCUUGCACUCGAAACUGGAUUAGUUGUACUAUGCCAACAUGUUACCUAAAUUACCCUUAAAAAAGUCGGAUGAAAAACAACGAACAGUCAAAUACCAACUCCUUUUUAUAUAUAUAUAGGAUGUAUUUGUUCUUGAAAUGUUCAUUGAGUUCCAUGUAGAUAUCAGUUCUUAAAGAACCAUUCCCAUCUUGUAGCAUGUUUCCACCUGGAAGGAUACACAAGAAAGCGCAUUAGUCAAAAACUAUCAGUUUGCAUUUGUAUUUUCAGUUUGAAAACCGAACACCCAUUUGGCCUCUCAAGGCAGGCUCUCGACUUAUUCACGGGUAACGAGGCGAGUCAUUAAAUCUGAACCAAUUUGUCAGAAAUGGAAUCAGCACUGUGAAAAUCGAUUUGCAAAUCCAUGAAAAUGCCGCAUUAACAAAAAUCUCCAUUUCUUUGCAGCGAAAUGAUAAGAGCAAAUUACGGUGAAAGACAGGGGCACCUGCCCUGCACAUAUCAACACAGAACGCCAAAGGGCUUGCCCCGGAGAGAGGGGAGCUAAUGCUAAUUUGCACUUACGCAUAAGACUACUUUUUAUGUCAGGGAAUUGUGCAGAAAAUUCAGUUAGUAAAUUCAUGUUACAGAACUGAGACACAUUCUACAUACAUGAACAUCAGCCAACUGCUGGUAGACAUCCAAUUGGUAUUACAGACAAUGAUGGGUUUGUCAGAUCUACUUGUCACAACAAAAAAAUUGUAGGAAUGAAGCUAUAUAAUGACCCAAAGUAGUUCAAUUUGAAAAUCCUUGAUUUG